rnacentral:lncRNA from 1 species
UUUUUAUUUAGGUGUGAUCGAAUCACCUCAUAAUUUAAUCAUUUUAAUAAAAGUUUAAAUUUACUAAAAUGAUAAUUUUUGGUCUACAAAAUCCAGAAAACGGGUUUAGGAGUCGGUUACGCACGAGGAAGGAUUAGCACCCUCGAUACGCCCAAAAUUAGUACCUAGUUGAUUACUUAAUGUCUUGGUGUUGAAGAUUAAAAACUUGAAAAGAAUUUAAAAUACGAUCCCUCUUUAUAUUGUGUUAUUUUAAAAUUACUCGAAUAAAUCAAAAUAUGUAAAAUGCCUUCUUAUCUCGAAGUAACAAGAUGUCACAUCCCGUAAGUUAGGACAUGACACCUCGAAUUUUUAAGAAUAAGCUUGCCUUUUAUUUUUUAUUUGAACCUCAUUUAGUUUAAUUUUAAAAGGAUAUUCGGUUAUUUAGGUUCAACGCGAGAAAAAUCAAAACCCAGUAAGUUAGGGCACGACUUCUCGAAUUUCCAAAUACGGAAUAUUGCCUUUAUUUUCAAAAUUUUCUUUUUUACGAAUUUGGAUAAAAAUUAAUGUAAUAUUAAGAUUGAUAUAUGAAUAAAAUGUUACGCUAAUGAAUGACAACAAUAUAAAUGUACUAAUAAGCUAUUCGUAAUACAUAUCACUUUAAUACCAAUAUUAACAAUCAAAGAAAAAAUAAAAAAAAAUAAUGACGAUGAUAACAAAAAUAGUUCUAAUGACAAAAUAUGAGCAUGAAAUGACAAUACCAAUUUUUAAAUAUAAUGAAGACAAAGAAAUAAAUAAAUAAAUAAAUAAAUAAAUAAAUAUAAAGGAAAAUAUUAUAUAUAAUAUUGAAAAUAAAUGACUUAAUUAAAAUAUAAAUGAAAUUAUAGGUGCAAUUUGUAAUAAGAUACAAAAAUAAAUAGUAAUAAUAAUAAAUAUAAUAAUAAAUAUGGUACAAGAAAAAUAGAAAAUAAAAAAAAUGUUUAAAUAUAAAUAAAUAAAUACAAAAAAAAGUAAAAGAUUGAAAGUAAGGGACUAAAUCAAAAUCUAAGCCAAAUUUAAAGUAAAAAUCAUAAUAAAAUAAAUGGAUUAAGUAAUAAAAUAAAGUAAAGGGCUAAAAUCAAAUGUGUAGAAACAAGCGGGAACAAAUGACUAAAUUGAAGCAUGAAAAAAAUCAGUGGCCCAAAUUUCAAAAAAAAUCCAAAAAGGUAACAAAGGACUAAAUUGAAGCGCAUCGCAAAAGUGGAAGGGCCGAUUGUGUAAUUAACCCAUGCGCUAGAAAACACGCGGAUCCUGGGGGUCUUGGGUCGGAUCUCGGGUUAAGAGCCAAAACGGUGCCGUUUUGGGGCUAUUGAAGCCAACCUUAAACGGUGUCGUUUAGAGAGUCUAUAAAGACUAAUUUUUUUUAAAAAAAAAUCAUUUACACCCUUUUCUUUUAAAAAAACUUUGAGAGCUCACUCAUGCUCUCUCUCAACUCUCCCUCUGCCACCCCGUCGCCGGACCACCGUGACAGUCGCCAAAUGUCGGCGACGGCGCCGCCGUACACGGUGGCCGACAACAUAAAAAAAGAGCCUUUUGAUCAUUUUACUGCCCUCUACCCCGAUCUAUGGCCAAAAAUCUAGAAAAAAAAGAACCCUUUGGAUCUGCCCUCCUCUGUUGCGACUGUUUGGCUAACCCUGAGGGUUAGUUGGCCUUGCAAAACGAAGAGUGAAACGCUGGGUGAAAGGUAAAAGAUUUUGAUUUUAUUUUUACUUUAUAUCUUUUAAGAAUAAAAUGAAUGAAAAAGAUCACCUUUUUUUUGAGUUUAUAUCUGAUUUCAAGAUUUUGUAUUCGAUUAUCUAUCUAAAUUACAUUGAUAUGUUUAGCUUUUAUAGCCAUUUACAAUACUGUAUAUUAUUUCUAUUGUUUUGCUUUCGUUUCUGCCUACUCUGUCUUCUCUUUUUGUUUUGUUUUGCAGGGGCGAGGUCAACGGAGGCAGAGGCUCCAGCUUUUUACCAUUUUGGUGUAAAGGCAAUAGCUAGGGUGUUAGGCCUCGGGACCAGGAGCCUCGGGACGAGCAUGCUAACAUGGCUAAGGGCAGCGGCGCAAAUGGGAGUUGGAAACCCUAGGGUUUCUAAAUUAGAUUAGGUUGAGGGCCUAUUAAUUGGGCUUAGGGUUUUUAUUUUUGGUUUGUAAUAAUUUGGACUUGGACUAUUUUAUUAUUAUUAUUUUGUUUUAUUUAUUUGGUUUUGGGCCUGGGUAAAUUGGGCCUACUACAGCUGCCCUUCUUUGCUCGUUGUUGUAUAACGAGAAUAGAGCAAAGACUUUUUUAAGAAUGACCAAUUUCACCCGGUCUCGUCGAAUCUUGACUUCUUAAUACUUAUCCUCUUCAAAUAGCCUCAUUCCAACCCACUGCCCCUUUAGGGGUAUAGGAAUUAUCGCUUCAAUUUACUCUACUGCAACUUCAGAGAGAUGAGAUUUGUAAUUUCAACCUGCUCCACUACAACUUCAGGGAGAUAAGGCUGGUGGCUUCAAUAUGCUCCACUGCGACUUCAGGAAGAUAAGAUCCGCCAUAAUUUGUAGCUUUAAUCUGUUCAACUACAACGCUAGAGAAAUAAGAUCCACUGUCUUCAGUUUGCUCCGUUGCAACUUUAAGGAGAUAAGGCUAGUGGCUUCAAUCUGCUCCACUGCAACUUCAAAAGAUAAGAUCCACCAUAAUUUGUAGCUUUAAUCUGUUCUACUGCAACGCUAGAGAAAUAAGAUUUGUUGUAUUCAGUCUGCUCCGCUGCAACUUUAGGGAGAUAAGGCUAGUGGCUUCAAUAUGUUCCACUGCAACUUCAGGAAGAUAAGGUUCGCUAUAAUUUAUAGCUUUAAUCUGUUCCACUGCAACGCUAGAGAAAUAAGAUUCCCUGUCUUUAGUCUGCUCCGCUGUAACUUCAGGGGGAUAAGGUUGGUGGCUUCAAUCCAUUCCACUACAACUUCAGGAAGAUAAGAUCUGCCAUAAUUUGUAGCUUUAAUUUGUUCCACUGCAACGCUAGGGAAAUAAGAUUCGCUGUCUUCAGUCUGCUCCGUUGUAACUUCAGGGGGAUAAGGCUGGUGGCUUCAAUCUGCUUCACUGCAACUUUAGAAAAUAAGAUCCACCAUAAUUUGUAGCUUUAAUCUGUUACACUGCAACGCCAGGGAAAUAAGAUUCGCUAUCUUUAGUCUGCUCCGCUGCAACUUCAGGGAGAUAAGGUUGAUUGCUUCAAUUUGUUCCACUGCAACUUCAGGAAGAUAAGAUCCGCCAUAAUGACUUUAAUCCAUCCCACUGCAAUUUUAAGGGUAUAGGAUUUUUGGUUUCUCUGAUAUAUUACACCAUCCAUUGGGGAACAUGACCUAUAAAAUCCAUUUCAUUGGCCUAUUUAUGCCAAAUGAUUAGGAUGUUAUGAUUAAAAUGAAUCAACUGCUCCUAACUAGAUGUGUAUAAAUGAUAUUUGCAUGGAUGCAGAAUGUCACGAGAAUGAUCCCUUUUUAAGGUUUGGGUUGCCAUUACUCGUUGUUCAUCAAGGUUCUAUCACUAACAUAUUAUCCUGCCUUCUUAUUCAGCUGGUAUCUUUGCCAGAAAACUCGAAGAAUAAUCACAAUUUGGGAUAUUAUUUCUCCAAUGUUUCUAACCCUUAGGUCUAGUUAGUUCUAAAUAAUAGUCCUAUUUCAGGUCAUCGUACUAUUUAGAAGCUUUCGAAGUAAUAUGCAGAACUCCUUUUGCUUGAAUAUUAUCAGUCCAUUAAUUGUUAUUUCAAUGAAAAAUGCUUGAAAAAGAUUAUCACAAUGGAUAAGAUGAAAUUUUAUUAAGAGCAAAGCUCGAAAUGAAUAAAUUAAUCAAUAUAGUAAAUUUUGCUAAGAUACAAAAUGAAUAAGAUGAAAAUAGGUGCCUCAGAUAUCGUAGUAUGAGCUUCUCUGCACAAAACUUCUUGAGGACCCUUUGAACUUGAUAUGUGUUUAGAAGUCCUAGAAGACCUUGUUGAUGCCCAAAGAUGUAGCGUCCCUUCUUCUUAUUAAUUCAGAGAGGACAUGACUACUACAUGCCCACAUUUGAUCAAAAAUUUGAAUUGCCUAUUCUUGGGUUUUCAACUCAAAACCACUUUGGUCUCAAGGCGUCCUUUGCGGGUUUUCAUCUUGGCCUCUCCUUUUUCUUUUCUUUUUCUUCUUCUUUUUUUUAAGAAAAUUUUUUUGAUUGAAUCUAAACUCAUAGGAUUAGGCAAGCCCUUGUUAUCCCUCCUAGUCAAAAUCAACGCUUUUCCAAAUAAAGCAUUCCACAUAAGGUCUUUUCUAGUUUGGCAUCCACUUUCUUCUGAAGUCCUUUUGCAUCGGAAUGAUCUUCUUUGAUACCAGUUCCCCCUCAUGGAAUUCUCUAGGGCGAACCUUUUGGUGAGCUUGCAUCAUUUUUUUGGUACAUUUGACCAUGAUGGAUAACUUUAAACUUUUUCUUCAAUCGGGAUUGGAUCCAAAAAAACUCAGAAAGAAAGAAUCUCAACUUCAAUGGACAAAACUGCGAUAAGCCAAAGAGAAAGGCGUUGCCCCAGUAAAGUUUUUUUUUGCACCGUUCAUUUUGGGGUAAUAUGGUGUUAAUCUUGAACAGACUACAAACUUCUGAUAUCGCGCUGUUAUUAGUGCAUUGUUAGAUAUGAUCCUUUUUAGAAUUCCAUACCGACAUAUGAUUUCUUUUUUUUCAAAAAUUUACUAACUGCCGGCUUGGUGACAUUGGUAUAUAUAGCAGCUUCCACCCACUUAGUAAAGUAAUCGACAACCACAAAGAUGAAUCGAUGACCGCCAUAAGCUUUUGGCGAGAUCGGCCCAAUGACAUCCAUGCCCUACAUAAAGAAAGACCAUAGAUUCUAUUGAUUCUUUAUAAGGUAGGAUCUGUUUCUCAUCUUAUUCUACCAUCUUUAACAAAUCAGGAGAUAAGUUAUAGUCUCAAUCAUCUUCAAAGUCCUAUGAUUGCUCUGGACAUAUAUCUUGCUCAAAAGGAGGUUCUGAGUCAAUAGUAGUGUCGCUCAUAUCAUUGAUAUCUGGAGACCUGUUAUAGGGACGAAGGAAUAUCCAAAGAACAAAAGAAUCAAAGAAUAUUUAUCUGUAUAGUAUGAUUAUGAAUGAAAUAAAAGAAUAUUUCCUUAAAGUGAGAAACAAAGAUGCAUUUUUAUUGAAAUAAAGAUGUUGGACAUAAGUCAAUUUCACAAAAGGAUUCUUAUUGCUUCUAGGCUUAAAUCAACAAGCGUGUUUUGAACAUUACUCUGAAUCAGCUCUAAAAACUAUAUGAAUCUCUUCCGCAGUCGAAUUGUUCAGAACACUUCCAGGCUCAUAAAGGCAAAUGCCUGAUAAAUUUUCUCUUUCAAUUCUUUCUUCAGAUAUAGCAUUGAUGCUCUAAUUUCUGAACAUUCCUUCCGGGUCUUUAGUAUAUUUAAAGAAUUCUAAUUCCUUAUUAUCCAUCAGGCCUUGCACCAAGGCUCUGAAUUUAUUACGCUUUUGAAUCUCGUGACCCUCUUCAUUAUGGAACUCACAGUAGUUCCUUGCUUCUCCGGGUUUCUCCCCUAAAUCUUGUGUGAUUAAUCCUCAUUCUUCCAUUUUCUUCUAAACCUCCCUUAGCGGGGUUUUCACUUCUACUAUGUCUGUUUUGAUUCUCCUCCAUGCACUCUCGAAUAUCGAGUUUACUCCUUUGUCAGAAUAGUUGGGUAACAGAUUUUCUACACUAGAUGGAUCAUCGAAUUUUACAAUACCUAUUUUGAUUAGUCUUUCGAUUAUCUUUUUGAAAGCGAUGCAGUUCUCGAUCGAGUGUCCUAUGAUUCCUGUAUGGUACUCACAUUGGGCAUUCGUAUCGUACCAUUUGGGGCAUGGGGGCUACAUAGAUUUUAGGUAGAAAAGGGAUACUACACGUGUAUCAAACAAAUUUUAGUACAACUCCCCAUACGUGAUUGGGAUGGGCGUGAACCAGAGUUUUUCUUAGUUCGGUCUUGGAUUGGGUUCUUGCCAUGGGGGGAUCUGAUGGCUAGUAGUUGUCGUCCUUGGCUGGCUUACAGUAAUCGGCUUUGAAUAGCCAUUGUUAUACAUACUCGCAUUAUUCACCACAUUUUCCAUCUUCCUCGGGGCUCUUAAAGUAUUGAUUUGGGAGCUCCACUCUUGCUUUUUUCGUUUGUAACGAUUUUCAAAUUGUUUUGAGAGCUCCACUCUCGCUUGUUUUGUUUUCGCUAGGUCAUCCAAAUCAAGGAUAACAUGAUUGGUUAGAUUAUCCCCCAGGUUAGAACCUGAACCUGAACCUGUCAGAAAGUUCACCGGUGUCGAGGUAUCAAUCUGGUAUUGGGGUCUGAUGUUAACACACACUUUUUAUGGAUACACGUUUGGUUGUGCUUGGGUGUUUGUUGGAGUAAAACCUGGAGGAUAAGCAGGGUCCUCGUUAUCGUCCCCGGAAUUGACCAUAGGGCUCUUUUCUUUUUCUAACCCUCCAGCCAGCAACUAAGUUAACUGGCUCAUAACAUUUUUUUAGAAUUCUAGCAUCUAAUCCUCAUAUCUUGUUGAAUUUUAGCCAAUUGCUCUUGUAUAUGUAUUUGCAUUCGCUCUAAUGUCUCCAACCUUUGGUCCAUUUCUUUAGUUUUUCCUCGUGUAUCGAUAUUCCAAGAUAACUGCCAAGAUUGUAGGGUCCUUUUGUGAGAUUUAAUGCAUAUGAUGCAAUGAAAGCAAAAGAAAGAGGCGUUGAUUCUGAUUCAAUUAUAUUAGAACAACUUUUCUAGAAAACAAAUAUUUUUACAUAAAACAUAUAUUUAUACGGCCUUGCCCUCAUACUACAGGCGAAGACAUCGAUUCUUUCUUCAUAUCCGGAUGUUAAGAUCAAAUCUCGCGAACUUUCAAAUGGAUGCCUCUAGUAGCUUCUUUUUACUCGAUCCAGGCUGUGACCCAUUGCUCACUUAUCCUUGUGAUACUCAUUAACUUCUUUAAAAAAGCUGGGAUGUUGACGACUCUCGAAUAAGCUUUGUCGGCUUGAAUCUUCGGGCAAAGGAGCAAGGUCGUGUACUCUUCUACGGUAGGUACCAAAUCCACUUUUCUGAAAGUAAAACAACUAUAAGUAGUGUUCUAAUACUGGGCGAGAGCUCGGUAUAGGUGCUCGUCCACUUUGAUAUAGAGUAGAUUAGAGGUGUUCAUGGGCCGGGCCGGGUUCGGGCUGGGCCCAUAAAAAAAUUUUGGCUUGAGUCCUAGGCCCAGGCCCGAAAUAUCGGCCUAAAAUUUUGUCCAGGCCCGGCCGGGGGAAAAAUUCCUAAGCCCGGGCCCGGCCUGGCCCAUUUUUUAAGUAAACACCAAAAAAAAAUUUAGAAAAUUAAAAAAAGUAUUUUAAAAAUAUUUUAAAAAUAAAAAAAAGUAUUUUAAAAUAUUUUUAAAAAUAAAAAAUAUAUAUUUAUUAUAUUCGGGCCUGGCUGGACCCGGCCAAAAAGGUGGUGCCCGAGGCCCGGCUCAUUUUCUAAAUGGGCCUCAUUUUUUUGCCCAAGCUCAUAUUUCGGGCCUAUAUUUUUACCCAAACCCUCCCAUAUUUGGGGCGGGCCGUCGGCCCGGCCCAUGAACACAUCUAGAGUAGAUAGGGCAAAUCACCAUAAUGACAGUAGAAUAGUUGCUUAGUCUCGUCAUCCCACUAAUCCCAUAUUUCUUUCAUCUCUUGAAGAUUAUUUUGGGUUACACUGAUACGAGUGAAAUCUCACAACUUCGACACGUAUCCCUCCAUAAGACUAUUACCUUUCUCUUGAUGCGUUGUCUCGGCCCAUAUCCGGACGGCCGCAUUAUCUUUCACUUUAUUAAGAAAUCUAUUUUCCAUGACAAGCUCUCUAUUUAGUAACUGAACGUGAAUCAACACCUCUUUUCUAUGAAAAUACAAUACAAUACAAUCAAAACCAAAACAAAAGAACACGUCAGUACAAAAAACCAUAAAUGACAAACACAACACCUAUUUGAAUGACCACUAGAGGUUUGGAGUGGUUCUACCUAGGGUGGGCUCUUAAGGCUUGCUAUAUGGGGUUCGGUUCUAAAGUAAAAGUACCUAAAUCGGUAGAUUCCUCGAUCUUCACCCAUUAUAGGCUCAUAUGGACUGAGUUCAGUUCAGGGGAAUACAUUUCCCUAUGGCUACACGGAGAUAAAAAUCUCACGAAGACAUAGGUACAGAUGUAUCUCGAAAGCGAUCCACUAUCCUACAAUGAGGUGAACACCUCACGAAGGAAUAGUUUCUCACUCCCACUUAAAAGGGUAAGAUCGAUUGAUCAUGCGAGGCAAUAUGUAGAAAGAUACCAAAACUUAAACCAAACAGCAAUUAUAAACCACAAUGAUGAAGAUCGUAACAAAGACGGAUGAAAUGCAACGGAAGGAUCGUACUUAUAAACCAAGUUUUCAAUUUUCGACAAAAAGUAAUCAACUCGUGGCUUGACUCUCUUAUUUUGGGUCCCCAGUGGAGUCGCCAAGCUGUCAAAACCAUUUUUUUGAAAUCGACUUUUAUUUAAAAAUGAAAAUGGAGUCGCCACCAAUCCUUUUUAUUUAGGUGUGAUCGGAUCACCUCAUAAUUUAAUCAUUUUAAUAAAAUUUUAAAUUUACUAAAAUGAUAAUUUUUUGUCUACAAAAUCCAGAAAACGGGUUCGGGAGUCAAUUAUGCACGAGGAAGGAUUAGCAUCCUCGAUACGCCCAAAAUUGGUACCUAGUUGAUUACUUAAUGUCUUGGUGUCGAAGAUUAAAAACUCGAAAAGAAUUUAAAAUAUGAUCCCUCUUUAUAUUGCGUUAUUUUAAAAUUACUCGAAUAAAUCAAAAUAUGUAAAAUGCCUCAUUAUCUUGAAGUAACAAGAUGUCACAUCCCGUAAGUUAGGACACGACACAUUGUAUUUUUUAGAAUAAGCUUGCCUUUUAUUUUUUAUUUGAACCUCAUUUAUUUUAAUUUUAAAAGGAUAUCUGGUUAUUUAGGUUCAACGCGAGAAAAAUCAAAACCCAGUAAGUUAGGGCACGACUUCUCGAAUUUCUAAAUACGGAAUAUUGUCUUUAUUUUCAAAAUUUUCUUUUUUACGAAUUUGGAUAAAAAUUAAUGUAAGACUGAUAUAUGAAUAAAAUGUUACGCUAAUGAAUGACAAUAAUAUAAAUGUACUAAUAAGCUAUUCAUAAUACAUAUCACUUUAAUACCAAUAUUAACAAUCAAAGAAAAAAAUAAAAUAAAUAAAUAAUAAAAACAAAUAAUGACGAUGAUAACAAAAAUAGUUCUAAUGACAAAAUAUGCGCAUGAAAUGACAAUACCAAUUUUUAAAUAUAAUGAAGACAAAGAAAUAAAUAAAUAAAUAAACAUAAAGGAAAAUAUUAUAUAUAAUAUGAAAUUAAAUAACUUAAUUAAAAUAUAAAUGAAAUUAUGGGUGCAAUUUGUAAUAAGAUACAUAAAUAAAUAGUAAUAAUAAUAAAUACAAUAAUAAAUAUGGUACAAGAAAAACAGAAAAUAAAAAAAUGUAUAAAUAUAAAUAAAUACAAAGAAAUGUAAAAGAUUGAAAGUAAGGGACUAAAUCAGAAUCUAAGCCAAAUUUAAAGUAAAAAUCAUAAUAAAAUAAAUAGAUUAAGUAAUAAAUAAUGUAAAGGGCUAAAAUCAAAUGUGUAGAAACAAGUGGGAACAAAGGACUAAAUCGAAGCACGAAAAAAAUUAGUGGCCCAAAUUUCAAAAAAAAUCCAAAAAGGUAACAAAUGACUAAAUUGAAGCGCAUCCCAAAAGCGGAAGGACCGAUUGCGCAAAUAACCCAUGCGCUAGAAAACACGCGGAUCCUGGGGGUCUUGGGUCGGAUCUCGGGUUAAGAGCCAAAACGGUGUCAUUUUGGGGCUAUUGAAGCCAACCCUAAACGGCAUUGUUUAAAGAGUCUAUAAAGACUACAAUUAAAAAAAAUCAUUUGCACCCUUUUCUUUUAAAAAAACUUUGAGAGCUCUCUCAUGCUCUCUCUCAACCCUCUGCCACCCCUCAGCCUUCUAGCUCCGGUCGUCGGACCACCAUGACGGCCGCCAGUUGCCGGCGACGGCGCCGCCGUACACGGUGGCCGACAACAUAAAAAAGAAAGACCUUUGAUCAUUUUACUGCCCUUUACCCCGAUCUAAGGCCAAAAAUCCAAAAAAAAAGGAGAACCCUUCGGAUCUGCCCUCCUCCGUUGUGAUUGUUUGGCUAACCCUGAGGGUUAGUCGGCCUUGCAAAAUGGAAAGCGAGAUGCCGGCAAAAAGGUAAAAGAUUUUGAUUUUAUUUUUACUUUAUAUCUUUUAAAGAAUAAAAUAUCACCCCUUUUUUUGAGUUUAAAUCUGAUUUCAAGUUUUGUAUUUGAUUGUCUGUUUAAAUUACAUUGAUAUGUUUGGCUUUUAUAGCCAUUUACAACAUUGUAUAUUAGGUCUAUUAUUUUGCUUUCAUUUCUGCCUACUCUAUCUUCUCUUUUUGUUCUGGUGCAAAGGCAGUAGCUAGGGUGUCAGGCCUCGGGACGGGGAGCCUCGAGACGAGCGUGCUGAAGUGGCUGAGGGCAGUGGCGCACAUGGGAGUUGGAAACCCUAGGGUUUCUGAAUUAGAUUCGAUUGUGGGCCUAUUAAUUGGGCUUAGGGUUUUUAUUUUGGGUUUGUAAUAUCUUGGACUUGGCCUCUUUUAUUAUUAUUUUGUUUUAUUUAUUUGGUUUUGGGCUCGGGCAAAUUGGGCCUACUACAGUAGCUAUGUAGCAAAAAAAUAGAAGACAUCAUAAUGAACCUAAAUUUAAAAUAGAAUUUUAAAUGUUAACAAUUAGACUUAUAUUUUAACCUUCACAAUUUAAUUCACUUGUUUUAGAAUAGAUAUACUCUAUCUCAAAUUUGAGCUAACAUUUAAUGCACAAACCAAUGACAAAGAAUCUGAUUGAUGCGAUACUAAAACCUUAAGGGCUUAAUUAGAACAUUUUAAAGUUAGGAAUCAAUUCAAAAUAUGCCAUAAUUUGAGGACAUUUGAUGAAUUAACCCUUUGAUAUAAUAAGGCAUCUCUUCCUAUUUGGGCUCAUUCAAGGUAUCACUUCUCUUGCCAAGACAAGGACAAGCUAAAGGGAAAAAAGACAUCACCAUGACUAAUUAAGCUUUUUGAAAAUUGCUUUUAUGCAUUCUUUACAAUAUCCAAUCUUGUUAACAGGAUUGCAAACAUCUAUAUUAUUGUUAAUGUUUUGAUUGAUUUCAUAUAUAUAUAUAUUUGGGCAAUUUUUAAAUUAUUGUGUGGAACUUGAAAUUUCCAUGUUUCUGCAUAACUUGUAAAAGAAGUAAACCAAUGAGAAACUCAGUCAUUCAAACCUAACCCAAAUUUUCUUGCACUAAGAAUGGUAAAACAUGGACCCAACAAAUUGGAAAAACAACAAACAAGAAGAGAGCUCAUUAACAUGGGGACCCCAUCAAGCACAUGACAACCAUUAGACUGAUUGGGGAAUAAAAAAUGCUAUAGCUAGUUUACAAAUUUGGAAUUCUAAAAUUUAGGUGGAAUUAUUAAUAUUAAUUUUUUUAUUAAAUUUUGUUAGUCUCACGUUUUAAAAUAAAAAAAAUAUUAGUUUGGCAUCAAUGUAAUUAAAAAUUAAUAUUAUAAUGAACUUGAAUUCAACAAAAUAAUUUUAACAGUAUUAAUAAUUAGACUUAAAUUUUAAAAUCUAAAAAGUUAUAUAUAUAUAUAUAUAUAUAUAUAUCUUUGCCAUCUUCCAAUGAGAAACUGAAUUAUGUGUGAAUAUAAUUUAGAUGGUCCCCCAACACUUGCCUUGCCAAGACCGGAACAGACACACCAGGCAAGAAAAAUGAUUUUACCCCAAAAAAAAAGAAAGAAAGAAAAAGAAAAAAAGAACUUAAUUAAUAUCCAUUGAAUUAGUUCUAAUGAAAGGACUACAAUGUCCCCACUAUAAAGAAAAUUAAAUAAGCAAUAGAUUAGUGUAAAUAAAAGAAUAAACUACAUUCCAAUAGAAUUAAGCUGUCUUAGCUCGAUUGGUAUGAAUAUUGUUGUCAAUGUAGGAGGAUGUGGAUUUGAAUAUAUUGAUGCGCAUUAUUCUCCUAUUUAUGGGUUGGAGAGAGACUAUGGGUAGUUCUAAAUAUUAUCUUAAAAAGAAUAGAUAUUAUCAGAAUCUAUAAUGAGAUUGUUUGGUUUUAAUGUUUAAUUUAGUAUUUGAGUUGUUUUUCUUUUUCAGAUUUGAUACUUGUGUUUGGCUUUAAUGUUCAGUUUAGUACCCAAAUCAAACGGCAUCAUGUGGCUCAAUGAAUAUUUAAUAUAUGUGCUAUAAAUCUAAUAAGAUAUUAUAGAAUAAAUUGUAGAUGAAGAAUAAAAGAAAUUGUAAAUGUUAAAAUUCAAAAUUAAAUGUACGAAAUUACACACUUUUUUUUAAUGAAAAAAGCAUCAACCAAGAAGGGUUCUUUUUCUCAGCUUUGUUUUGUAGUAAAUUACAUGAUUAAAUCAGCAAAUAUGGGUGAAAAAUGUGAUGAGAUCAUUCAAAACAUUAAAAUAAUGGCUUGAAUUUAGUAUACUUUUAAAAGAGAGUGACAUAACCAUAAUGCAAGUGUGAUGCAACUUUCUCAUCAUUAUAAUAUAUAUAUAUUUAGGUAUGUAAGAUUAAUCGUUAAAUUAUGAGUAAGUUUUUGUUUUGGUAUUUAACUAAAAGAAGUUAAAUUUAGUCACUGAACUAUUUAAAAGUUUUUAUUUAGGUCAUUGUGUGGUUAAGUUUUUUUUUUUAAAGUUCCGCCAGUGAGCUCCAAGCAACGAUUUGAUGAUUGGUACGGUAGAUCAGUACCCAUCGACAAGUUAUUUAGGUCAUUGUUUGAAUUUUAUUUACAAAUUCGUGAUGUCCAAAGUUAUUUCAUAAAAAAAAAUUGAAUUGUAAAAGAGGAGGAAAUAAAGCUUUUGAAUGGUGCAAGCAGUGCGAAGAGAGAAAGUCAUAUAACAUUGGUUUUAACAGUCUAAUAACUUAGAUGAAAACUUUUGAAUAGUUUAGCGACCAAAAUAAUAACUUAUCCAUAGUUUAGUGACUAAUGGUGUAGUUUACUCUUUUUUUACAACUACAAUCAGAAUAAAGAAUUUUACAGUUAUUGAAUUGAAUAAUUAAUUUAACAACAAAUUAACUAUAACCACAUAAAUUUGAAAAGAAAACUUACACAUUUGGGUAGGACUUGAACACCCAUCUCAAAUUUCUUAAAACCUCAACUUUAUCAUUUAGUCCAAAGUUGAUUUACUAUAUGGUCCGAAAAUUUUAUUUGAAUGGUUUUAAUUUAUUUAUUUUUCAAACUUUUUGACUCAGGAAACUUUGGCUGAAAAAGCUUUAAAGAAAAUUAUUUGGUACAUUGUUAGUAGAGUUUUAAACUUCACAAAUAGGAUUAGGGGUUGACAAGAAUUUUAUAGAAGUAUAAUAUAAUGUUAAAAAAUAAAUAUUAAAAAAAAGACAUAUAUCAAUUUUUUUAAAAAUUAAUUGUGAAAUAAAACAAAUUCAUUUUUACAUACCCUAAAAUUAUUACCUACAGAAAAGUAGGUCAAAAACAUCAAACAUAUCUUUUUGAAAAAGAAAUAAAAAAAAGUCAUUGUUGACAUUUAUAUGAAAUAUUUAAUCACUUUGUUUGAAUUAAUUAUUUAAUUUAAUAUUUAUAAUCAAUGGAUAUGACAAUAUAAUAGGGAUCUAUUAACACCACAUACGUCACAUAUUAAGUUCAAGGGGAGCUAUUCAAAUAAAUGCCUAUCACUUGCUUUUCGAAAGCUCAAACCCGGAUGAAUUCUAUUAACGAACAUCCCUUAAUCACCAAACCAAUCACGAGAGUUUAUAUAAUUUUAUUAAAUCUUAACUAAAAAUUAAAAGGAAUAUAUGCCUAUCUUUCAUAAGUUAUAUAACAAAAUUUCAAAUAAUUCAUAGACUAAUAGAAAUGAAAAUUGAUUGUUUGAACCGGACUAGUUGGGUCAAAUCGAGAAUCGAUCAAAGUAUCAAUUCAGAAAAAAAGUAAUGGAUUGGUUGACUUGAGAACCAAUACGGACUAAUUGUACCGAGCAAAAAAAAUGAUUGAAUCAGACAAUUGAUUUUUUUUUAAUUUUUUAAAUUUUUUAAUGAUUUAAACCUUUAUAAAGCGUAAAUAAUUUUGUGUUGCCUUAAAUUUUAAAGUUAAAUACUUAUUACUGGAUAUCGGAUUCAGGUUACAACUUACAAGCCCUUUUUCAGUUUUUCUUUACUCUUUGAUAAAAAAGAAGAAGAUAAAUCAACAUUUAGCUCUUGAACUUUAUAAGUUUCUCAAUUUGGUCCUAAAACCUUUUUUUUUCAUAAUAAUACUGAAACUUAACAAAUUUUUUUUUGAUAUUAAUCUAUGUGAAAAUGUGGCAUUAUACUAUUGUGUCUCGUUGUCCAAAAAUUAUAUUUUGAUCAAAAUAAAUAAUGACAUGGUGCUUUAAUAUUGUGCAAUGUCAUAAAAAAAAGAGUAAUUUCCGGUGAAUUUGGUUUGGGGCUUUAGGCCAAGAAGCACGAGUUGGCAUCCACCAAUUUCGCUCGUUAAAACUUGGGCCAUGGCGGAAUUGUAGUAUGGGUGGAGUAAUAAAUGUUUGGGUAAAUUACACUACAUGUUACCCAAUUAUGGCUCAGUUUUUUUUAGUCACCUAAUUAUGAUUUUUUUUAAAAUUGGUCACUUAAUUAGUUAGGUUUGUUUUUUGGUCAUUUUCCGUUAAGUGUAGUUAACAAUCCAACUAGACCUAAACGUGGGUCGAGUUGGGUCAAUACAAAAUUUUAGGCUUGCGCUUGUCCCAAAACUCGGGCCUAAAAUUUUAUCCAAGCCCAACAUGUAUACAUUAAAAAAAUUAUAUCAUUUUUAUAUAAAAAUAAAUUUAAAAAUAUAAGACAUCAAAUACUCCAAAAACAUUAAAAUAAAUAUUUCUCAACAAAUUGAAAAUACAUAAAAAAAUAUUUAUAAUUAAAUAACAUUAAGAUAGUUGCAGCUUAGCAAGCAAAUACCUCUAAAAUAGUAGUAAAAUUAAUAAUAAAACAAGAGUUAUACAAUAUUCAAAUAAAAACAACAAAAUAGUAACAAUAUAAUAGUAAACUAGUAGCAAAUAGCAACAAAAUAGUAGCAAACAAUAGCAAAAUAACACUGAAAAAAAUUAGGUAAAUUCGGGCCAAAAAAAUCUUACCUCGUUUUUUGUCCAAACCCAUUUUUUUGCUUAUAUUUUUGCCAAAACCCUCUCACUUUUCAGUUGAGUCUUUAGGUUUGAGUUAGUGGCUCAAUCCAUGAUAUGGUCUAAUUCUAAUAGAUGAUGUGGCAGCUUAAAAAUUGGUAUAAUAAUAAAUUUAGUACUCAAUUUUAUAUAUAAUGUCAAUUUAGCCAUUGUUUUCAAAGAUUAGCCCUCAACAUUGCGAAUUAUUUCAAUUUGGUUGAAAAUUAACCCUCAGCGUUGAAAGGAAGGGUAUAGCCCUGAUAUUUUUGGAGCUUUCCAAGCAGGGUUUUGAGGCUGCAAAGUAGCUGAGAGAGCUUGGAGAGAUUAGGGUCGUUGCUAAGAAUGGGAUUCACGUCCUUUCCAAGGUCUAGAAAAGGUUCAAGGGUGGAUUGGGGUUCAUGUGUUGAAAAAAUGGGGUUUUUCGGCAGAUUUUUUGAAGCUUUUGAAGGAACGUUAGCAGUGAAAAUAACUGUUGAUUGUCUUGGGAUGAUGUUUGAUCCAUCUUUAGGGGAUACUGCUUAGGUUCGAAGCUUACUGCAUGCGGCGUGAAGGGAGAAAGGAAACUGACAGAACCUCCCAACUACCGGUCCAAACAUGACCAAAGCUUUAAUUACAUUUUUUUUAUUUUUAAUUCUUCGUGUCUGUUUAUGAUUUAUGUUUGGGUUCAUAAUUGUCCCUCCCAAUAAUAUGGUGUUGUUUCAAGCCUCGUAAUUAUCACCAAACAGGGGGCCAAUCCUAAUAACUAUCAACAUAUGCGACAACCUUCUACUGUUUCUACACCCAUUCCAGUUUCCAUUCAAUUUCUUAUCUACCAACAAACGAAAGUACUUUCAAUCCAAUUUGUUGUUUGUGAAUUAAAUUUCUUUUAAAAAUUAACCCUCAAUAUUGCAAAUUAUUUCAAUUUGGUUAAAAAUUAACCCUCAACACUGAUUAGGCAUUUUGAAACUAUAGGUACUAUAUUAGAACAAACCUUAAAGUACAGGGGCUUUUCAUGCCAUUAUCCCUUUUUUAAAUUAGGACCAAAUUGAAAUAAUUUGCAAUACCAAGGGUUAUUUUUAAAAAAUUAUGAUUAAAUUGACACAAUAUAUAAAGGUUGAGGGCUAAAUUUGUUAUUUUUAAGCUGCCAACUCACCCUUCCAUUAAAUAGUUAAUGGCACUUAAUGGAAAAUAACCUAAAAAGCAAACCCAAUUAAUUGGGUGACCAAUUUAGAAAAAUUUAUAGUUGGGUGACCAAAAAGGAAAUUAGCUCAUAGCUAAGUGACCUAUGGUGUAGUUUACCCAUUAAUAUAUAAUUAAGUCUUAGAUCAAUUAACGAGUUAGUGUUAUAAUUUGAAAGAUGUAGAUUCAAAUACGCCCAAAUCUAUAAUACUUUUUAGUUUAAAGAUCAAAGAGUUAUGGAUAAUUUUAAUAUUGUAAAAAUGACAAGAUAAAAUAAAAAAUAUUUAGAUAAUUUUAACAUAUAUUUUUUUCAAAAAAACUAAUGCAACACGCACCACGAUGAAAUAAAAAUUGAUAUAAGUAGAUAGACAUGUUUAAGGUUUAAACUAUUUAUUCAAAUUUAAAUGUCAACUCGAAAUUUGAAAAGGUUUUACAAAAACCUCGUUUAAAAUAUGAAUGUGUUUGUUUCACUUUCUAAAAUUGAAAUAAGACAUAUUUUCAGGUGCGAAUCUAGCGGGGUUGGUAGGUGCCUGGCCCUUUAAGGUUUUUAAAAUUUUAAAUUAGUAAAAAUAAAGUUGUACUUUGGUCUUUGGCCCAAAAAUAAUAAAAUUUUGAUUUAAUCAUUUAAAAAUUACAUAUUUAUUAUCAUAAAAAUUACAAUUUAAUUUCGGCUCCUUAAAAAAAUUUACUGGCUUCGCGCCAGCAUGUUUUCAAGUUUAUAAUAUGUAAUUUAAUUUAUUUCAUAUAUUAUUAUAGAAAAAUAAUUAAAUAUAUAUUAAGUUAUUUAUGUUAAAUAUUAAAUAUAAUUAUUAUAUUAAAAAAAACAAAUAAUAUAUGCAUAGUCCCGAUCCAAACCGAUCCGGUGCCGGUCCAUCAAGUAAAGAAUCUAAAUACUUUCGCGCCUAAACCAACCAGAAAACAGCGCCAGAGAGAGGCAAAGCAGAAACGCCUGAAACCGCCGCUACAAACGCUGCUCAAGCCGCCGUCACCAUACCAGCACCAGCCAAACGUUAACGGAGCGUUUCCCGUUCUUUCUUCUCCUUAGAGAAGAGGAGCUAAUGGUAAUUUUAUUUUCUUUCAGCGCUUUCUUGUUGUCCACUUGUGUUGCUUGAUCUUCACAAUUUUUGAUGAAUUGUUUGUGAAGAUGCCUGAAAGAAUUUAGGGGCUUAUACUUUCCGGUAUUCAAACUUUAUCAUUUAAUAGAUAUAAAUGUAGACAUAAAAUAAUCAAAACCAAUUGGAUGGCUUGAAAUUACUAGACAUAUUUAUUUUGCUAUUGAGUCCUUUUUUGCUUGCAGGAAGUUAAUCAACAGGCUAGAUGUAGAGAGUUGGCUAAAUCGUCCUCAUUUUAUAGUACUGUUUACUCUGAGGUCAUUUAAUCUUUUUUUUUUUCCCUCUAUAUUUAUUCUAAUGUCAACCAUUUUAUGGGUUUUGUUUGGUUUCUCUUGAUGAGUUAUUUUUAUUUGUACAGAUAGAAGAGGUCGGAUGGGAUCAUUUGGUGAGGGCGGGAGGAGAUCUAAGUUUCCUUAUUUUUCGUGUUUUGUAAGUACCCUUUUGAUUGUAUUGACAAUCCAUCUAAUAUGGGAAAGCUUUGGUUUUCUUUUGGAGCAUUAGAUUUUGUAGUAAACAGCUAGUGCAACUUCCAGGGUUAGUCACAUAAUCAUGAUAAUCCUUUGGUUUUCUGCAAACGAAUGGAAUCUGUAUAUUUUCUUAGGAUGGUGAUGAUAAUCUGGGUUAUGUAGCUAACCUGCAAUAUCCAGCUUGGUGCUGUCUUUAAUUGUUCUCACUGUAUCCAUUACUAGCUCUUUUUGUACUCCAUUCUUAUCAAUGUUAUAAUCAUGUACUUUUAUAAAGAUAUGGUAUUGAUACAGAAUUGGCUAUAUCUGAAACUAAAGGCUUGAAUAUAUUUUCUGAAAAUUGAUAAACAGUUGAUAUUGGAGUUAUAAAAUCCUCAGUACACCAUAUAUUUCUAUAUACCUGUUAAGAUGUUUCUAUUGUCGAACUUUGGUAUUGGUACUGUAACCCUCUGUAGUUUUGUUCUCCUUUAAUAUUUCAUGUUAUCCUCUUUGUUCCUAGUUGCUUAUCCUGUUAUCCUUCUUGUAUAUUUCGGUGCUAGAGAUAAGAAGGGAAGAGUGCAUGUUAUGGAAAUUCAGUUGGAUAAAGCUUAUCCUAGAGUUCCUCCAAUGGUUUCAGCUGUUUGUCUCCUAUCUUUUUGGUCUUAAUUCUUCCAAUGUAGUCCUACAGGUGUUUUAUCUUACUCUGCUUUGUUCUCAGGAUGUUCCCUAUAUCUUCAAUUUAAAAUGGUCAAUGAACUCGAGACUGAAAAACUUGGUACAACAGUUUGAGAAGGUAUUUGCUUCGACAUUUUUGAACCCAAUGUAGUUCCAUUCUGCUUCAGAACAUAUUUUUGGUGCCAUGGCAUGUUUAACUAUUGUCAGAACUUUGGUGUUUUCUCUUUGUAUCCAGCAUCUGGAGAAGCUUCAAGGAUUCUGGUCUACCUUGGACGAAAUUGACAGGUCUCUUCAGAUUGUUGAUUCAAAGCAAGCAUCUCGUGCCAUUCCGAGUCGCCAAAUCCACGUAGGUGAGUCAUUACUUCAUUCCGUCUUCUUUUAUGUACAUUAAAAUUUUCUUGCCCCCUCCUUUAUUACUGAACACAAGGUUUAACUAUUUGGUACUCAGGAAAUGAUUGCUUCAUCAUAUUGUUCAUCGAUAUCAAUGAUCCUAGAUCAUUACCAGAGUAAGAAUUCAUAUAAAAUUAUAUUAAAAGCUGCUAGCAAGUUGGUUUUGUUCAGCAUGAAUAACGAAUAUUUAAGUGUUUGUAGGUGUCGUUUUAUGGGUUUAGGUAAUACUGUGAACUCCUUGAGAAAGACAUGGAAAAGAAAUGUUGAUAAAUGGUAUGCCCUUGAGUCUCAUCUUAAAUUUUUAACUUUUGCACUAGUGAAGUGAACGUGUGGUUAACAGUGGAGGAAGAAAAUUACCGAGUUGCGUAAUUUUCUGCAUGCAAUCUGUUAAUUCCUUCUCUAGUAACAGAGAAUGCCAGAAAUUGGAGCCUUGAAGCCUUCCAUCUAAUUUAAGAGGAUAGAAGCUUAUAACAUCGUGUUGUAUAAGGGAUAGGUUUCAUUCCAUUGUACUAACUUUACAUAGUCUGAUUAAUUGUUUAGGGAGAGGGACAAAGCCUUUUUAGAAAAUCUUGAGUGUCUUUUGAACACCCAAUUGCCAAGGCUUGCUGAUGAAGAGACCAACAAUCAUCUAGAUGAAUGUGGAAUCUGUUAUGCUCAAUAUCUCCCCAUUGGUAAUGCUUCACAUGCUUUAGAUGUCUCUGAACUAUUGUUUUGAGACUUAAUUCUCAAAUGUUCCUGUAGGUGAUGAGCUUGGACCUCAGACUGGAAGUGCAACUGAUUACACUUGUGAGAAUAACAGUUGUAGUAAGGCUUUCCACAGCAUGUGCCUAGUCGACUGGUUGAGGUCGAUCACGACAACAAGGCAGUAAGUGGAGCUCUUAGUGUACUUGUAUCUUUUAAACUACUUCGUAUCGGAGUAUAAUUUUAUUCCUGUCCACUAUGUGCUGUGAUCAAUUCAAAAUUAAUUGCUUGCGGAAUUUCCCGCUUUUGGCAUUGGGCUACCUGUCUACCUGAAUGAUCAAACCUGCAAACAAGUUGGGUCACGUGAUACUCGUCUAUGUCUCCUCCUUUAUAUCUUAUUGAUACACCUAGUAGCCUUUAGUAGAGGUAGAAUCGACCGUUACUGGCCUCAUAUUUUUCAGUUGCGACUAGGUAUGGUAACACUAUUUCUGGAGUCUGAUCAAGAGGGACCUACAUGAAAGUUGAAGGGGCUAUGUUUUUUCCAAGCUUUUAAAGGCACUAGUACAUUAUCCAAAACGUGGUCCAAUAAAUUGUCGGAGCUACUUUUGUCCGUUAGAUUAAAUGGGGUGUUAAGGUUUGCUAAGAUAGUGAUAUAGUGCCUUUUUCUCUUUUGUGUUUGUCGUUUGGCAAAUGACCCUUCAAGUUACAUGAUUCAUGGUACAGACUUUUCAUUCAUAGUAAACCGGGUUGCCUUUGAAUAUGCCUUAUUGCUUGUACAUACCCCACAUUCAAAUUAGCUUUGAUUAUUUGCAAUUAGUUUAUGAAACGAUAUUAGCACAAACCUAUCUUCAAUUUCGACCGUGGCAACUUGGUUGCUUGAUUUAUGGUUGUGAAUGCUUGUGUUGCAGGUCAUUCAAUGUUCUGUUUGGAAAUUGUCCUUAUUGCUCAGAGCCAAUUGCAGUGAAAAUCAAUGCCACAAAGAAUUAAAGAUCUUAUAAGUCAUAAUCUAUGAUCCUAAGCUGAUUCAUCCUGUCCCGGAGAACCCUUUCACGAGCAGAAGAGGCGUGUGAAUUUCCAUUACUGCCAAAGCAGCAAAACUCUGAAGAUUAAAGCUUCUCUUGUCCAUGCAGGUACCUAAAACCAAUUCCGUUUUGCUGAAAUAAGAAGCAUUCAAUGUAGGUUUGUGCUUACUAGCACUAUACUAUUACCUUAUGACCAACAAGGAUCUGUGGCAUUCCCUUCUUUAUGUAUUGUCCUGACUUAUCUAAGGCAUUAUUUACUUUGAUCAAAAGUGUUUCACUUGAUUGGUAGUCUUUCCUUGAAUAUUAGAUUCUUUGUCCCAACACAUUCAUUUCUUUGCCACUGGAAUGUCAUAUUCCAACAAUAUGUUACCUCUAUUAAAUGACUGCUUUUAGCUGGAAUUCAAGCAUGUUUUGUUUCACUCAUUAUUCCAACAUAUUGGAUGCAAUGACAGAACACUCGGUUCAAAUUACUAAAUAAUUCACACUUGGGACUUCUUGCAUGGGAAUUUAUUCAUGUUUAAAUAUGGACUAAUGAGAAUGGAGUUGUGGAAGAUAUUGUAGCUUUGCUGCUGCUUCAAAGGAUGGCCCUUCCUCUCUUAGCUUUAAUGGUGUUUGCCUCCAGAAGGCAAUCAAUUGGGGGCCAUAUGAGAAUUUAUGCCUAGUGGGGCCCUAAACUGUAAAAAUCCUAGUAAAUAACCCUAGACUGCCAAGUUGUUUAUUUCCUUGAGGAUGUGAGCUGUUAUCAUGAAUUAUAAUUUAUAACCCCUUUGUUGUGCUCAAUGACCAAAAAGGUGGGUAUCUAAAAUUCUUUUCUCUAUCCCCAUUAUUUUAUUCUUUACUAAAUAUUAAGUGACCCAAAUCUUUAUUUAAAUAAAAUACAUUUGUAAAAUAAAAUAAAAGUAAAAUCCAUAUAGAAUUACACUUAUUUUAUUUUAUUUUAGAAUAAGGUUUUUUAAACGUUAUUAAGCUUCAUCUAUUUGAUAUUGAUUAGAAUAAGAUGUUUCAAUCUUACUACACUCUUAUUAGAAUAUGAUUUUAUAAGCCUAUAAAUAGACAUAGUCUACUCCUCUUGUAAUCAUUCGAAUUUGGCAUAGUGAAUUAUCUUCUCCUUUUCUCGUGGUUUUUUUCUCGAAAGGGUUUCCACGUAAAACUUAUGUGUUCUUUAUUUUUCUCUCUUUUUCAUUGCGAUACAUUGUCAUUACCGACGUUCUAUUUUUAACAAAUUGGUAUCCGAGCUUCCGGGUUGUUCAUCUCAAUCACGGUAAUAGCGUCUUUGAAGAAUGAAAUUUGCUGUUGGAUCGCAACAACAGAUUUGCGUUGUGGCAGAUAAAGAUGCAGGCAGUUCUUGCAUAGAUGAACUCAGACGAAGCCCUGCUAGGGGUAGAUAAGAUGCCUUCAACAUUGACGGAGGAAGAGAAGAAGCGCAAGGAUCGAAAGGCGUUAACACAGUUACAUCUGCAUUUGUCUAACAAAAUUUUACAGGAUGUGAUAAAUGAGAAGACCGCCGCUGGAUUAUGGAAGAGGUUGGAACAAAUAUGUAUGUCGAAAACUCUAACUAGCAAGCUGCAUAUGAAGCAACGUCUUUAUGCUAAUCGUUUUGAGGAAGGCGUGCCUGUGCACAAACAAAGAAAUUCUCUCAAAGUUGGAGGCCAUGAAGGUUCAGUAUAAUAAGGAAGAUCUAGUGUUGGUUCUACUUUGUUCGUUGCCUCCAUCUUAUUCAACCUUUAGAGAUACGAUUUUAUAUAGUCGCGAGUCUCUCAGAAUUGAUGAGAUUUAUAAUUCUUUAACCUCGUAUGAUAAGAUGAAGUAUCUUGUGGUUAAAAUCGACUCUUAGGGAGAGAGUCUCAUUGUUCGUGGGAGACAAGAUCAGAAUGCUAAUUAUGAUCGUGGAAGGACACAGGAACGGUAAUGACCCAAACUUCACAAGCACCAAAAAAAUGAGUUAUAGGGCCUUCGUCUUAAUAAACUGAGUUCGUAAACAAUUAUUCGGAGUAAUCAUGAGUCUAGUUGAGUAUUUAAUUAGGCUCAAAUUGGGUGAAUUUAGCUUAGUUAAUAGAUAUUAGGAAAAAGGACUGAAUUGAAUAAGGUGUGAAAGUCUAAUUAUAGAUUAAAAGAAGAUAAGGGGGACUAAAUAGGAAUUAAGCCUAUUUUGAUGAAUGAGACGACAAAGCAUAAAAAUACAAGUGUAUUAAUUCAAAUGAGUACAUUUGUAUUAUAUAUAUAAUUAGUAAAAAUAUAUUUUAUUAUUUAUUAUUAAUUAGUAAAAGAUUUUUAUAUGAUAAAUAAAUUGAAAUUAUGACAAGUGGAUGGUGAUGAUAAAAUACAAAUGUAAAAUAUAUAUGUGAACAUUUGUAAUAUUUAUAUUUGUUAUUAAAUAGAUAUUAUUAUUAUAAUAAUUAUUGUUAUUAUUUAAUUGAUAUUAUAUUAUUAGAUUAAUGAACAAAUUAAUAAAUUGACAAAUGUAUGGUGAUGGUAAAGUACAAGUGUAAUAAAUCAUAUACAUACAAUUGUUAAAUACAUAUUUAUUUACUUAAUAUUUAAGAAAUAAUAAUUAUUAAACUAAAGUAAAAUAAAAGCAUAAAAAGAAACAAAAAAGAAAUAGAAAGAAACAAAAUAGAAACGAAUAGGGAGAAAAAAGAAAGAAAAGAAAAAGGGAAAGAAAGAAAGGAGAAAUAGGGUUUUUUAAAGGUUGAGGUUUAAUUUGGUAAGUUAAUUUAGUCCAUUUUCUUGUAAUUUUGAUGUUUUUGGAGUCUUAGAGUUGAAUAUUAUUGAAUUUAAGUUGAAAAUUUGAAAAUUAGUAGAUUUUUUAGUUGGGUUUAUGUUGAAUAAAUGAUUGAAUUAGGGGUUUAUUUGAUGAAAUUAUUGAUUAGAAUUGAUUUAAGGAUUAAAUUGUAAACUAGGCUAUAAGUUUUGUGUUGUAGGGACUAAAUUGAAAGAAAUUCGAAAUUAUGAUAAAAAUUUGAUAGUUAAAUUUAAGUUUAUAUGGAAUUUGGAUAGGAAUAAAAUAUAAAUUGUAAUGGGAAAAUAGAUGAAUUUAGUUAGGACUAAAAUUGGAAUUUAAGUGAAAGUUAAAUAGAAAUUUAGUAUUUAAUGUAAAUUAGUAAUAUAUUAAUGAUUAUAAAUUAUUUUAAUUUCCGUAGCUAACAAAGAACCUGAGACAUCAACACCGAAAGGAAAGGAAAGGAAAGGAAAAAGUUAUCGAGGAGUAAUCGUGAAAUUCGGGUUUGUAUUACUAUAAUUCAAGUUAUUCAUUAUUAAAUAUUAAUAUUAAUUUAUUUAAUUUAUGGUAAGUAAAUAUUGAGGUAAGUAACUUUAUUGAAUUGAAAUUAGAAUUGAAUUGAAUAAGAAAUAUGUGUUAGUAUUGAAUUGAAUUUUGAUUAGUGAAUGAAAAAGUGAAUUUGACAUUGAAAGUAAAUUUUGAAAUGAAAGUGAACUUGAAUUGAGAAUUGGAAACCCUAUUAACUAGUCGGGCCGAGUCGGAUAUAAUUAACAUGCUAUAGGAUUGGAAGAGUUCAGGGAUACUUCGACCUCGAGUCGAUGAGACACUGGGUGUCACUAUUUUACAUGAUAUAUUUAUUUAGUAAAUUACUAAGUUGAUGUUUAAGAUAUGUUUAAGUGUAUUUGAAAAUGAAAUUGUAUGGAUUGUGAUAUUGGUUUUGAAUUGGUUGCGGUUUGAAAUUGCAUGGAAGGUUAAAUAUUUAUAAAGGGGUUAUAUUGAGUUUUUUUUUUAGAAAAAAAAAUGAAGUCAAUUAGUAAUAAAAAAUAUUUAUAUGAAAUUAUUAUAUUAUAAUAUGUUUGUUAUUUGUUUAAGAAUUAUUUGUAGAUUGUCUGAUAUGUCCGGUAAUGCCUCGUAACCCUAUUCUAGCGACGGUUUAGGGUUAGGGGGUGUUAUAAGAACAGAAUCCUCGCUGUAAAUCUAAAGGUAGAUCGAAGUCUUCAAACAAAAGUAAAACUUGUAACUUUUGCAAGAAGAAAGGACACAUUAAAUCUGAGUGCUAUAAGCUAUAGAAUAAGAUCAAAAGGGAGGCUGCGAAUGAAAAUGGAAAACAACCAGAAAAUUUCGAUAAAGCUGAUGUUGUAGAAGACUACAGCGAUGGUGAACUUCUAGUCGCUUUUGUCAACAAUUCUAAAGUGAGCGAAGAGUGAAUCAUUGAUUCGGGUUGCACCUUCCACAUGAGUCUCAAUCGGGAUUGGUUUACAACUUAUGAAACAGUGUCUAAAGGUGUUGUUUUGAUGGGAAAUAAUGCUUUAUGUAGAAUCGUAAGUGUUGGAACAAUUAAAGUUAAGAUGUUUGAUGGAGUUGUCAGAACACUCAGUGACGUACGAAAUGUUCCAGAAUUAAAGAGAAAUUUAAUUUUGUUGAGUACUCUUGAUUCAAAAUGGUACAAAUACACAGUUGAAAGUGGGGUUUUAAAUAUUUCCAAAUGUUCUCUCAUUGUGAUGAAAGGGUAGAGAAAGACUGUCAAGUUAUAUGUUUUGGAAGGUUCUAUUGUUACUGGUGAUGUAGCUUUCGCAUCCUCGUCCUUAUUAAAUGAUGAUGAUAUUACUAAAUUUUGGCAUAUGCGCCUAAGGCAUAUGAGUGAGAAUGGCAUGACAGAAUUGAGCAAAAGAGGACUUCUUGAUGGGUAAGGAAUUUGCAAACUGAAGUUCUGUGAGCACUGCGUUUUUUGGAAGCAAAAGAGAAUUCGAUUCACCAAAGGAAUCCAUAACACGAAGGGAACGUUGGAGUAUAUUCAUUAUUAUCUGUGAGGGCCAUCCAGAGUGCCUUCGAGAGGUGAAGCUAAUUAUAUGCUAACUUUUAUUGAUGAUUUUUCCAAAAAAAUUAGGCGUUCUUCUUGAAGCAGAAAAACGAUGUACUUUCCGCAUUUAAGUCUUGGAAAAUUAUGAUUGAAAAACAGAAGGGAAAACAAAUAAAAUACUUCUGUACUGACAAUGGCUUAGAGUUCUGUUCUGAAGAGUUUAAUAAAUUGUGCAAGUCAGAAGGGAUCGUGAGACACUUGAUAGUUUGUUAUACUCCAUAGCAAAACGGCAUUGUAGAACGAAUGAACAGAACGAUCAUGGAGAAGGUUCGAUGUAUGUUGUCAAAUGCCAACUUACCAAAGUCAUUUUAGGUCAAAACAACCUCUACUGCAUGUUUUUUGAUUAAUCAAUUUCCAUCCAUUGCCAUUGAGAAAAAGACUCCACAAGAGGUAUGGUUUGGUAAUUCUACUGACUAUUCUGAUUUAAAGAUCUUUAGGUGUCCUGCGUAUACUUAUGUUGAUAAUGGAAAAUUGGAACCGAGAUCCAUUAAAUGUGUUUUUCUUUGUUAUAAAGCUUGUGUAAAAGGGUAUAAGUUAUGGUGUCCUGAAAAUAGAAAAGUUGUGAUUAUUAGAGAUGUUUUUUAUGAAACUGCUAUGCUACCUAACUUAUCUCUUAAAAACUCUUCCAAUAAAGAAAAUCAAAAGCAGGUGGAGCAUCAGAUUAAUCCAAAAUCUACAAUAGAGUCGACUCCUCAAGCCAGUACAAAAAUUUAAAAUAGAGUUUAUUCUUCACCAUAAUACUCUAUCACCAAAAAUAGAACUAGAAGAGAAAUUAAACCUCCAAAGAAGUAUAUUGAGGUUGAUCUAGUUGCUUGUGCUUUAAAUGUGGCUGAAGAUAUAGAUGCAAACUAAGAGCCAUCUAAUUAUUCUGAUGCGGUUAGCUGUGAAGACUCAGAAAAAUGGAUGUUUGCUAUGCAAGAGGAAAUUGAAUCACUCUACAAAAACAAAACAUGAGAUCUUGUGAAACUUCCUAAAGGUAAAAAAUUUGUUCGUUGUAAAUGAGUGUUUAAAAAGAAAGAAGGGACUCUGGGAGUUGAAGAACCCAGAUAUAAAGCAAGGCUUAUUGCAAAGGGUUACAGUCAAAUUCCAGGAGUGGAUUUCACCAAUGUGUUCUCCUCAGUUGUGAAGCAUAGUUUGAUUCGAGCUUUGCUUGGAAUUGUGGUCAUACAUAAUUUGGAGCUUGAGUAGUUAGAUGUAAAAACUACAUUUUUGCAUGGAGAACUUGAGGAUGAUAUUUACAUGCAACAACUAGAGGGUUUUACAGUCUCAGAAAAAGAGGACUGUGUUUGCUUGCUAAAAAGUCUCUUUACGGUUUGAAAUAGUAACCAAGACAGUGGUACAAGAGGUUUGAAUCCUUUAUAACUUCUCAUGAUUUCAAAAGAAGUAGCUUUGACAGUUGUGUUUACUUUAAGAAAAACAGUAAUGGUUCUUUUGUGUAUCUACUCCUUUAUGUUGAUGAUAUGUUGAUAGCAGCGAAAGAUAAAGAAGAGAUAAGAAAGGUCAAAACCCAACUAAGUGAAGAAUUUGAGAUGAAAGAUUUGGGACCAGCAAAGAAGAUACUUGGUAUGGAGAUUCUCAGAGAUAGAAAAACAAGUAAAUUGUACCUAAGUCAGAAGGGGUACAUUGAGAAAGUUCUUUGCAGAUUCGAUAUGCAGAAUGCUAAGCCUGUUAAUACUCAUUUAGCAGCCCAUUUCAGACUUUCAUCGGCUUUGUCUCCAUAAUCAGAUAAUGAGAUUGAGUACAUGUCACAUGUUCCAUACUCUAGUGCAGUGGGAUCUCUCAUGUAUGCUAUGGUUUGUUCACGUCUAGAUUUAUCAUAUGCAGUCAGUGCAGUUAGCAGAUACAUGGCGAAUCCUGGUAAAAUACAUUGGAAAACAGUUCAGUGGAUUUUAAGAUACUUACGAGGUACUACUGAUGUUUGCUUACAGUUUGGAAGAACUAGAGAUGGAGUCAUUGGGUAUGUUGAUAUUGAUUUUGCUGAAGACCUUGAUAGAAGAAGAUUUCUCACAGAUUAUGUCUUUACAAUUGGAGGUUGUGCAAUCAGUUGGAAAGCUACUUUGCAAACUACAGUUGCUUUGUCUACCACUAAAGCUGAGUACAUGGCGAUUACUGAUGCUUGUAAAAAAGUCACUUGGUUGAAGGGACUCUUUAGUGAACUCAAUGAAGACCUUCAAAUCAGUACAGUAUUUUGUGACAGUCAGAGUGUCAUCUUCCUUACAAAAGAUCAAACGUUUCAUAAGAGAACAAAACACGUUGAUGUUCGGUAUCAUUUUGUUCGUGAUAUUAUUGCCCGUGGUGAUAUUGUUGUGAGCAAAAUUAGUACUCAUAAAAAUCUUAUAGAUAUGAUGACUAAGUCACUUCCUAUAACCAAGUUUGAGCAUUGCUUAGACUUGGUUGGUGUUCAUUGUUGAAGUUAAACCCUUAAGAAGGGGUUUUAUGGAAGAGGUGGAGAACUUGUUCGUUGAGAGUUCGCAAUGAAGAACUUGUUCAUUGAGAAUUCGUGUCAAGGUGGAGAUUGUUAGAAUUAAGUGACCCGAAUUCUUAUUUAAAUAAAAUGCAUUGGUAAAAUAAAAUAAAAUAAAAGUAAAAUCCAUAUAGAACUACACUUCUUUUAUUUUAUUUUAGAAUAAGGUUUUUUAAACAUUAUUAAGCUCCAUCUAUUUGAUAUUGAUUAGAAUAAGGUGUUUCAAUCUUACUACACUCCUAUUAGAAUAUGGUUUUACGAGCCUAUAAAUAGACAUAGUCUACUCCUCUUAUAAUCAUUCGAAUUUGACAUAGUGAAUUAUCUUCUCCUCUGCCCGUGAUUUUUUUCUCGAAAGAGUUUUCACGUAAAAUUUGUGUGUUAUUUAUUUUUCUCUCUCUUUUUCUUUGCGAUACAUUGUCAUUAUCGACGUUCUACUUUUUAACAUUAUCAAAUUAAACAACCAAAAGAUUUAGCGAAUCGCACUUGAAAAUUUUCAUCCUUUAUCCAUGAGCCAGUAAUGGUAAAAUUUUGAUAAUUUCAACUAAAAUUUCAUUCAGUUUUAAAAUAAAUUUUUAUAUAAUUUUUUAACCGUAUUGUGUACCAUAAUGUAAUACAUAUUUGGUUCACUUAACUCAUAAUACAAACUUCAAUUAAAAAAUAAAUAACAAUUUUAUCUAUUUUACAAAGUAAUAUAUAUUAUUACGAGAUUAUUUUUAUUUCUUCUUAUAAAAUCUAGAAAAAUCAAUCUAAAUCCAAAAUAUAAUCUAGAAAAAAAAAUUGAACCUAAAACACUAGAGUCUUCAAAGCUUUAAUUUUAUUUAUUUUUUAUAAAUAUAACUUUUUACAUAAUUAAGCUUGUUAUAAUAUGGUAUAUCCUAAAAUUCAUAAAGCUGAGCAUAAAAGAAAUAAUUAUAAAUGUAGAAUUCAAAUAAACAUUUAUUAAAUAUCAGUACCUUUUAAAAGUGAUUGUAUAAAUAAUCGAAAGAGAAUUAUUUCGAAGUACAAAACUCUUGUUUCGCAAAGAAAACAAAUUAAGUGUGGAUUUGGAUGGUGAUGCAGUGCGUUUAGCUUACUUUUUGUUUCACGCUAUAGUAUCCUAAUUGAUUUCGAACAAAAAAAAAUAUGGUAUUAGAAGUGAAGGAAGCAAGAAGUAUCCCUUCACACUGGGACCAUUAUGAGCUUUUUAUGCACUUCGGGGACGACCAAAUGAGCCAAAUUCUAGCCAAACAUUUAAAGUGAAUAACAGGAAAAACCAAAACAAAAGGGGACCAUUCUGAAAAUCAAUUGAAAGCCAAUUACUUCAAACACUAAUUUUGAAUUUCUAGCAUUCACUCAUUUCCUUGUUUUCAUCAACCCGUAAAAUGAAGCAGCAAGUAGUUUUUGUCUUAGGCCUGCAAACUCUGAAUUGGAUAAUACAAUAAUAAUAAUAAUAAAAUACACGUUUUAAAAUUAAAUAUUUGCACACACGAUCACAAUUUAUUUCCCUUCAUAACCCCAAUUUUUGCAUGGCCCUCUUAUAGCAUAUACAUAUAGCUACUAUGGUACAAAGGGAGGCAUAUACAUCAAAGUAUAUAUGACACAUGAAACAUAUUGGUAUAUCAAAUAUUCUGGACAGUUCAGUUGGAUAUGGAACAAUGGGAACUCUUGAUAGUACUUCAUAUACCUGCCAUGCAUUCCGGUGGGGUGACCGGGUACCGAGACUUGUCGGUGCAGUAAUCGUAGAUCAUGUGGUUCAUCCGAACCCACCUGUAUCUCCUAGCUUCCAUGGCAUUAAGAGCUUGAUAAGCAGUACCUUCCCACCAGUUCCUAGGGUUACUAGCACAAUUUGCUGGCCCUGGAACUGGACACCCUUCAAUGUCAAAAUCCUUGUAAUAAGCCAAAAAUGGUGCUUUGCUCCAAUCAAUUUUCUCAAGUCCUCCCCUUGUUGCCCAAUCAUCAGCUUCCCAUAGUGUUGAAUAUACCCCCAUAGGUUGAAAUUUUGGGUAUGGGAUGUUUUUUGCUUCAUUGUUCUUGUAUACUCUUAUUGGCACUUCAUCUACAUAAAACCUGUUAAGAAAAAGCACCCAAAUGGUCAAAUUUUAAUGUCAUAUAUGCUUAUUAAUGUCAUAUUUAUAGUUAGAUACUGGACUUACACAAUAUGAUGAUGGUUCCAAAUAAUUGUGUAUGUAUGGAAAUCAGCAGCUGGAUCAAACCAGAGGUUAACCCUUUGUUCUUUAUCACCUUUACCAUGAGCAUAUAUGUUGGUUUGGACCGUGUAUGGUUGCCCGGUUCGGUUUCCCAAGAACUCGAAAUCUAGCUCGUCUCUUACGGUGUCCGUAUCAGAAUUCAUCUGCAAUACCAGAUUACAAUGAAAAACAGAUUAAAGGUUAAAGGUUAUGUCGGUAGGUAGCUUUACGUACGUAAAAGGCGGUGACGGUUCCGGCCGAGUCACCGGGGAUAAGCUUGAUCUUCAUGCUGACACGUCCAAACAAAUACCGUCUUUUGGAAGCAAAUCCACAGCCUAUAAAACAAAAUGAAUUAACAACACAUUAUCGAAGGGUUAACACAUUUAAUCAUUGAUUAUUAUUUUUAAAAAGUUAAACCUGAAUUUUGGUCUAGAAUAAGUUGAAUGGCCCUCCCCCCAUCGAUUUGCUUGAUAUGGGAAUCGGACCAAGUGAUUCUAAAAUCUUCGAGGAAAGUGGCGGGUCGUCCCGAAACCGAGAUCGAACAUGCAAGGAAACAAGAGAAGAUGAAAAGAAAAGCACUGCUUAGAGUUGCCAUUGUCAUCAAUGUUUUGAACUUAGAAGAUUAAAUUGUGGUGAAUAUGUGUAUAUGUGUAUGUAUAUAUAUAUAUAGGUGGGAGAGAUUAAGGUUGAUGUAGACCGCUGCAUUGAAAUAGAAAGUGCCAUUCUUAAGUUUAGCUUUCGAUACAGCUAAUGGCAAGCCGUCUUUAGGCCCUACAUACCCCCCAACUGUGCUCUAAUUUUGCCCUUUGGGAACCUAAUCUUAAUGCUUCCACUUCAUAACUCUCUUUGUUUUUGUUUUCAUUCUCCAACCUAACAAGAAAAAGGGAUCACAGAUAUUGAAAUUUUACAAUUGAAUUGAUCGUAUAUAUAUUGUUUGUCAUGUUCCAUCAUCACAUGAAAAUUUGAUUAAUUUUAUAUAUGGGUGGAUAAUUUUCCAUCUCUUGAAAUUGAUAUGGUAUGAAGGUGGUGUAGAAAAGGAUUGAAGACCAAUGAGGUGUGCCUAAAAAUUUGGGUCAAAUAGGGUUUGGACUUAAGUUCACAAAGGCAGUCUCAUUCAAUAUUGCUUAUCUAAUUUAUCUGUGAACAGCUUAGACUGAUAUUGAACGGCCGGUUGGCCGGAUCCACCGAGUUACAUGCCCCACCAUUAAGUUUUUUGGGGUCUAUUAAUCUUAAACUCUGGUCAAUUCCAUAAGCCUGAAAACCAAUCAGUAUAUCAAUUUAGAUAAAAGGGUUAGAUCGAUUUUAGAGCGAAGCACUUAAAAUUAAAUUUAAACCGUAAACCGGUUGAACUGUUUUUUAACGUUUUUAGUCCAAAUUAAUGGUCCAAAUCGAAAAAAAAUCUCAACUGGUAAAAUCCAAAUACAUAAAUAUAUCAACCCAACCCACUCGAAUACUUAAAAAAAUUAUUAUUAUUAAGAAAAAAAAGAGAGAGGAGAAAAAUCAAUAUAAAUCGAAGUGUCAUUAUUGUUAUUUAUUUGUGUUUAUACAAUUUUGUUUUUAAUUUUGUCAAAUUUUUACUUAUUUUCCAAAUUUUCUUUAAUUUUGGACCAAUCGAACUAAAAUUUGGUGAUCUGAUUAGUUCGAUCACCAAUCCAAUUCCGAAAACAUUGGGGGUAGGGGUUUCAUAUUGAUAUAGUAGACAUCGAUAAAAAUAAGAAAAAUAAGAACACAUGAAUUUCUUCAACAAGUGACGGGAUUCGGGUCACACAAUCUCUAACACAUAUUAACAUGGCUAGCUCUUCUAGAAAAGCUUUUAAAUGUUAAUCGAAAAGUUUCCCAACUCGAAUAAAAAAAUCUUAAAUCAAAAAUGACUCAAAAAUGACAUAAAUAAAUAACUUGAAAUAACUUAACUCAAAAAUUCACUAACAAACCCGAAUAACUUCAUCUUACAAAUCAUCCAAACCCAAAUUAAUAUCAAACCUAAAACCACUCAAAAGUCAUGUUGAAAAUUGGAUCAAAUUCCAUUCCCAUCUUUUUCUACCACUUGACAAUUGUUGUGACAAGGAAUAAUUUCAAACAAAAGUAUUAUCCUAUUUUACAUCAAUUGAAGGGAAUUUAAAGUUAAAACACAGAUAGUGAAAGACUGAGAUAUCUGAAAAUUAUAAGACAGAAAGGGAUCAUUUCUUUCACCAUUUGCAUAAUUGACGUACAAAGAUCCUUGGGAUUAAAGUUCAACCAAUGUUGGCUGCAAACCUCAAUUAUUUUAAAACUUUGACCUCAAAGUCAAUAUAAAAAAAUAAUUCUAAAAAUAUGUAGUCCUUAAAUGAUUAAAUAUGCAAAUUUCCUUGUCCAAAUAAAAUUUUUAAUUUCUCCUCACAAAUUAUGAUUAAUUUAUAAUAAAAAAUAAAAACUGAGGAUCAUGAUUUCCUCUCUCAACUAUAUAUCUCCAGGAUCCAAAUUUAAGUUCUUUUCAUAAGAGCAAAUACGGUUUACCACUGCACUCAACAUUUUUUUUUAAAAAAUUAUGUAUAGGAGGAGGCAAAUUCUCUUAUAUCCUGUAUGUUAGUAUUGAGUUGCGGAUUUGUUGUGUUUUGAGUUGCAGCUAAUGAUAUAAUUGAAAUUGAAAAAGAAAAUGGUUAAAAUAUGUCAUAGGUUCCUGUGCUUUUUAAUUUCAGGAAUUUAGUUUCUCUGCUUUCUAGAUUUCAAAAUUCAAGUCAAAUUAUUAAUUGUGUUAAUUUUUUGGGGUUGAAUUUGUUGGUGUGACAUUUUAAAAUAAGAAAAAAAAACUUACUUGGUAGUAAUGUAACUAAAAUAAUAGCGUUGUAAUGAACCUGAAUUUAAUAAAAUAAUAUUAAUAGUGCUAACAGUUGGACCUAAUUUUACAUCUAAAAAGUAGGGGGAUUAAAUUCCAAAUUUUUGAAGAGUUUAGAGACUUAUAAUAUAUUUUAUCCAAAAAUUAGUUGUAGAAAUAAUUCAACAAUACAAGAGACGAUUUAAGCUCAACUUACUCAACUUGUUGUUGCCUACAUGCAUAUAUAUAUUUGGGGUUAAAUCACUUUUUAGGAUCAAAACAUGGUAACAUUUUUUAUAUUGGGGUUUGAAUUUUUUUUCAAGUUAAGUCAUGAACUUAGCAAUUAUUCUUCCAUUGGGAACUAAAUUUUUUUUAUUCAAGAUAGAUCCUGAAUUAACAAUUUUUCCAAUAUUAGGGUUGAAUUUUUUUUUCCAAAUUAGUCUUUAAAAACCCUAAAAGUUCAGGUCAAGCCUCGAUGUGAGAAUAAUUAUCAAGUUCUUGGACUAACUUGAAAAAAAUUCAAGCCCCAAUGUGAGAACAAUUGCCUAGUCUAGACCCCAAUGUGAGAACAGUUGUCAAGUUCAAAGUCUAACUUGAACCAAAAAAAAAUUUAUACUCCAGUGUAAAAAAAGUUACCAAGUUCAAAUCCCAAAUAAUGAUUUAACACUAUAUUCUAUAUUGAUAAAACAUAAAAAAAAAUCUUAAUUAAAUUAUAAAUAAAAUUAAUCAUGUAAUUAACUCUCAACAUUUAGGGUGCGUUUGGUUCGCUGUAUUGGAUUAGAGGUGUAUUGGAUUAAAGGUGUAAUAGCAAAUCAACUGUUUGGUUGAAUGUAAUGGAAUAGAGGCGUAAUAGUAAUCUUGUGUUUGGUUGAAUGGAAUAGAGGUGUAAUAGUAAUCUUGUGUUUGGUUGAAUGUAAUGUUAAGAUCCGCAAUUAAUUAUUUUUCCCUAAUGAUGAGAAACUAAUUUAACUUUUAUAUUUGAACUAAUAUACCAAUUAAUUUUUUGUUCAUUCAAUGGCAAAUAUUUUAUGGGGCAUGCAUGGUAUGGCAUAUAAGUGAUUGCUGGGAUAAGCUAAUAAAUGCGUUCUCCAUUGGCAUUGAAUUUUGCCACCAUAACAAUAUUUGGGGUAAAUUUCAAAAAUAGUCCCAUAUCUUUGUUUAAGUUUAAUUUUGGUCACCGAUGUUUCAAUUGUUACGUUUUGUAGUUCACUUUUAUAUUCGGACCAAUAUACUCUUUCCCGUCUUCCUUUUCUUUUCUUCUAACCAAACCCUAGUCGCUGCUCACCGCCAUCGAUGGUCCUCCGGCCGAUAGUGCCACCAUAACUCCUCUCCUCUCCGUUCACUGAUUCAGAUUUCUUCUAGACCAAACAAAAGGACAAAAUCCCAAGUUGAAGCUUAAACCUUUUCCAACCGUCAGAUCGGCCGAAUCCCAGGAUAUGUGCCUCUCCUCCGUCCAACGAGGCUUUUCACCAUUGGAUUUGCGAGCAAAUAACUAGAGCCCCGAGAAUUCAACAACCCGAAAUGGGUUUUCUCUUCCCCUUUUGAUUUCCAUUUGCUCUCUUUUUCUUGAUUUUGUAUUCUCUUUUUUUCAUUUCUCUAAUCUCUCUCCGCAAGUUCUCUCUUUUUGAGCUGUUAUUCCUUCUUUUCCGUGACAUGGAAGCCAUGUUAGCAUUUAGUGGUACAGAUUUUUAUUAACACUAUUAACGGCCAUUAACCGACCAGUAAUCAAAUUGAUAAUAAUUUAUGAUCAAAUCAUAACAAUGACCCAAAUAUGGGAUUAUUUUUGAAAUUUCUAUAACACUAUUAAUGCCCAUGGUGGUAAUUUAUUAUUAUAUUAAUUAAAAUUAUAUAUAAUUGAUAGAAAACAUUAAUUUUUGUAAUUAAUUAUCUUCGAUUACUCAUUUUAAGAGAUUAAUCUGCUUCAUAUUAAAAUUGAGAGAGAUUGAAGAGAUAUUUUUACCUAAAAAUUUUUAGUAUAAGCCUCUACCACUUUCCUAGCCAAUCAAGUCCUUAUCAUAUGGUUUGAUUGUCAAACUCAAAAUUAAAGUCAGUCUUUAUUAAAUCAAAUAAUUGCCAAGUGUAUAGCUUUUGCCGGUUCAAUCUUAAUAAUGUAAUCCAUCUAAUAAUAUAUAUUUGUUAAUGGGUCGGCCGGAUCAACUUGUAUGUUUAUCCAAAUUUGCUUAGUCUGAAAUAUAAAUUUAAAAUUUUAUCUAAAUCUAUCUAUAUUUAUAAAUAUUUGGUCUAAAUUCAUUUUAAAUCCGCUCAUAUUAUCUUUAAUUUAUUAUUUAAUAAUUCAAUUUUUUAUUUAUAAAAAUUUUAUAUAUAGACAUCUAAUAUUUUUAAUGUUUAUAUAAUACAUAUUAAAAAUUACAAAGGGUCUAGGCCAAGUCGGACUUCAAAUGUUCAAACUCAAAUUCGACUCAUAUUUUAAACGAGCUUAAUUUUUGUUUAAGCUCAAUUUUACGAGUUUAACCUUUUUAAAUAUUAGACAAAACAUUGAAUUUAAACGAAUAAUCCGAUCUAUGAAUAGCUCUAGAUUAACCCAAGACUCAAUUAUUUGAAAAACAUAAAAAGGGCCUAGGUGGACAAAAAGGUUUAAUGUAUUUUGUUUUUAGCCGGUAAAUUGAGAAUGCUGGAAUUGACAAAGCAACAAUAAAUAAGAAGCAUCUUUAAUUAGAGGCUGGCAAGCCAAUGGCUCUUCAAUUCCUAUUUUUUCAUUAUCUUAUAUUAAUAAUUAAUUUGGAUUAUUUAUUUAUUUUUCUUGAUAAUGAUUAAACAUAAAAGUUUUAGUGUCAUAAAUAGAAAUCGGAGUAAAUAUAGAGUUGUUCAUAAGACAGGUGGCCCACUUAGCUCGUGUAGUAUGAUCCAAUCUGAAUUUAAAUUAAAUUCUUUUUAAUUUUUAUAUAAAUAUCAAUAUCAAAUAAUAUAUUUUAAUAUUUUACUAAUUUUUUAAAUGGUGAUAUGGAAAAUUUUUAAAAAAUUUGAUAAUUAUAUAUUUCUUUCACUACUAUUAUAUAUAUUUUUAUUAAAUUUUCAAAUAUAAAUAACUUACCUUUUUUAAAAUAUAUACAUUAUGAUAUAACAUAUUUAAUUUUCAUAUGAUAUAAGUACAUAAUGAUUAAUAAAAGGAAAAGUUACAUAUCAUAAGCUUGAAAACAUACCGGAGUUGAUAUUUGAAUAUUGGAGUUCGAAUUAGACUUAUAUUUUAAAUGAACCUAAUUUUUUUACAUAAACUCACUCCUAGCAUGACGAUUGUUUUUUUUUUUUUCGAAUCCUCCCAAUUAUUGAGAAGGAAUUUGAGUUAGGGUAGGUAUAUUGACCAUUGAACAAGUCCAAUCAUAGUUAAUAUUUUGAAAUUAUGAUUCAGAUUUUUUAUUGGUCGCUAAAUUUUAAAACUUUCUAACUAAACUAGUAUAAGUAUCGUAUCAAUCAAGUCUUUUCGAAAGUUUAGUCAUUAGCUUGAGGAUAAACGUUGGCUCAAACAUAACAUUGAGCCUAUUUUAAAUAUAUGGAUCAAAUUAUAAUAUGUGUAUCGAAUUUGACGUGUUAAGAAAUGAAUCUCUUAAAUUUAAUUGACGUUGUUACUUGGGAUAAACAACACUCAAGAUUAAUAAAUUAAUAAAUUAAUGUUUUAAUCAUUUAACUUUAAAAAAUUACUAAAUAAUUAUUGAAGGGGCAAAAUAUCAAAAAAAAUCCUAUUUUUUAAAAUUUACCGAAAUGGGCCCGGUAUUUUAUUAUUUACCGGAAUGGGCCAUUUUCCCCAAAAUCGCGUCCACAUCAGCGCGAUGUCAGAUGACGUGUCAGAACAUCGCAUCCACGUCAACGCGCUUUGCUUGCGUGGACACAAAUCGCGCCUACGAGGACGCGAUUUGCUGACGUGGAUGAACAGUUUAUGUUUUUUAGCUUGGAAAACUUUGAAAGGCCAUAACUUUUGGCUCGGUUGUCCGAUUGAGAUGAUUUUUUUUUAUUUCGAAUAACUUUUCGAGAUCUAUGCUCUGGCAAACUGCUAGUUUGCCGCAGUUUUCGUCGAAAAAGAUCAUUUUUUGCCCCUGAAUUUCAAUUUUUCAGUUUAAAAUUAAAUUUUGAAACAUUCAAAUCAUUAUUUUCCUUAUUUAUUUGAAGUAAACACCGGAUUUUUUUUUUACAAAACUGUUGUAUUAUUUUUUCUGAUUUGACACGUGUAUGGAAUAGGUCCGAUAAAUCGUUAGAACGUAAGUAAUAUAAUUAAGAUAAUAACAGUAUUUUUAUAAUAUGUUAAUUAAUUAGUUUAGCUUAGUUGGUUAAAAUGCUUGCUCUUUUCCCUUAGUACCUAGGUUCAAAUCUUGUUGGUAACAAUUUUAAAUCUUUUUUGUACUUGUUGCUGACAAUUUUAAAUCUUUUUUGUACUUGUUGCUAUUGAUGUAAUAUUGAAGAGUUAAUUGAUUAAAAAAUAAAUACAAAUACAAAAAGAUUCAAAAUUUAUUUUUUCGAAAUACCAAAAAAGCCCUAUAUUUUUAAAAUUUAUCGAAAUGGGCCCAGUAUUUUAUUUUUUUGACCAUUGGGUAUUGUUCACGCGCGGGCCGAAAUCGCGUCCAUGUCAGCAUCUCACGCUGACGUGGACGCGAUUUCCUGACGCAUACCCUGACAUCGCGUUGACGUGGAUGCAAUUUUCCGGAAAAAGUACCAUUUCGGUAAAUAAUUAAAAAAUGGGCCCAUUUCGAUAAUUUUUAAAAAAAAAGCUUUUAUUAGUAAAUUGCUCAUUACUGAACUGCUUAAAAAUUUUCAUUUAAAUUACUGAAAAGGUUUUAAAUAUAUAAUUUUACAAUUUUUUUUUGUUUUAUUAAAUAAAUGACCGACAAUACUAUAAGAAAUUAAUGAUAUUUAUUGAGACUAGUUCUAUGCACAUCCCCCGAGGGGGAAUAAAACAAUAAAGAAAAUUUUGGGUGAAAAUUCAAAAUAAUGAAAAAUUAAAAUUACUUAACUAAUAAUUUUUACUAUUUAUCCUUAUCGAUUUAUUUAUUGCAAUGUACUCUAAUUUAUAUGAUUUUUGGUUCUUGUAUUUUUUAUGUUCUUAAAUUAAUUAAGUUAAAUUUGUUAUUUCUAAAAUUUUACAUGGCAAACAUGUUUUUUUUUUCCACAUAAUCCUUGCAAAAAAAAGUCAAUCACUUUAGUUAAUUGAUAAAAUAGUUACGGUUUGAAUCGUGACUAAAAUAUCAAAAUUUAAAAGUUAAGUAUUAAAAAUGAUGAAAUUGGAGAACAUGGUCUAAAUCCAUAAUUUAGGCAUAGUACAAGAUUAAUAGCAUAAUUUGAUUUAACAUAUUUAACUGUCGUUUGGGUUGAGAUUAAAAUUUCAAAUUUUAAAAAGUACAAAAAUUAAAAUUGACCAAAUUAAAGCAUAAGAACUAAAUUAAUAAAUUAUACAUGAUAUAGGGAGUAGGGACCAAUAACAAAAUUUGACCUUAUAAAUGAAUAAAAAGUGCUAAUGGUUUUAAAAACUUACUGUGAUAAAAAAAAUGCAUGAGAGAGAAGUUAAAAUUAGGAAAGUUUUCUAGUCUCAUCAUUAGCUAUUGCUAUGUGUUGGUUUUAUGUGUUGAGUUUAAGACUAUGAAGAUAAAUAUUAAUGCUAAAAUAAUCUCAUAAAAAGACUUUACAAAUAUAAUCGUAAAGUUCAAAAUAAAACAAAAAUCUACAAGAUAUAUCUUCAAGUCAAUCUUCAUAAAUCAAGGGAUCCAAUUUAUUUGACCUAGAUCAGUCCAAACUUCAAGGAUUUGUAGCUUCACAAAAUAGAUCUUCAAAUAUGGGUCAACACAUGUUCAUAAUAUUCACUAAGUCAUGACCCAACUGUUUUGGUUUAAAGAUCCGUCGACAUUAAUAAGCCAAGUUAUGUAACUUGUGCAGAGCCAAAAGCAAUGAACACCGACUGUGGCACUACAUGAGACAUUGCUCACAUAUUGCCUCAACAAUCUCUUCCAACAAGAAUUCUAUAUUUAGAAUAUGAAUCCAUCUUUAUAAAGUACCAUUUAAUCCAUCUAAAUCUGUCCAAAUUUUAUCAAAUCAAUUACCCUUAAUAUAAGAUUACAAAUGAUUGAGGUAAAUCUUCAUAAAAUCAACUCGUGUCUUCUUAGAUUUACAUAUCCAAAUAUAUAAGAUAACUUAAUUUGGACACGAGCAAUAUUACUACUUUAAAAACUUACCUCAACCCAAACACUUGUAUAAACUUAUUUUGUAUGAGAAAUUAUAGAGAAGGUUAAUUAAAUUUUAAUGUAAUUGCUGCAAAAUUUUCAAUUAUUUCAAUGGGAUAAUGAUAAGAAUAUUAUAUGAGAUUUGAGACCCUACAUUAUUGUGAAAUAUCAAAUCAGACCUACAUGACAUUUUUUUUCUUCAUAUAAAUCAAAUUUAAUUUAUAGAAAGUUCUAUUUUGCAUAUUUUAGCUGGAUCACACAUAAAAAAGUACUUUUAAUUCAUUGAAUUUUUUGAAGGGAAAAUCAAAUCAGGUAUAAUUUAAUAUUUCAACAAGCACAAAUAAUUGAUCUUUUGUGUGGUUUUAGAUAAAAAGAAAUAAAUUUUAAAUAAAUUGCUUAGAACCAAUUGAAUAGGAUAAAAAAAUUGAUUAAAUUAAUGGUUGAAUUGAAUUUAUACUUUAAUAAUUAUUUUUUAAAUUUUAAAAUUAUUAAUAAUUUAUUUAACUAAAAUUGAACUGAUAAUCAAUUUGAUCAAACCGGAAAUCGAUUAUCUGAUGAAUUUAAUCACCAAUCCAAUUCUUAAUGCAUGUUUUUGACUUGGACAGAAAUUUUUCUUUUUAAAUUUAAUAUUGGAAAAUGAUUUUUCUAUGUAUUUUUCUUUUUAUAAUGUUUUUGGCUUAAAUACUCAUUUAGCUUUGGAAUUUAUCAUUUUCUCCCAAUUUGGUAUUUAUGGUAUUUUUGUUCCAAUAUUAAAUAUCAAAACCUUUGAUGGAAUGAAAAUCGAGAUACCAACUUGAAAUAGAAAACCAUAAAUACCAACUUAAGAGAAUAUGAUAAAUUCGAGGGUUAAAUGAAUAUUUAAACCAACAUUCACUGAUUCAAGUAUAAACAACUACCCUAUCACAAAUUGAUAGAUUUCAUCCUUCGUUAUAAAACAAAGUUGCUGUGAUAAUUUUAUUUUCAAAAUGAAAUAUAAAAUAAUUAUUAAAUAAACUAAUUAAAAAUAUCAGAAAAUAACAAUUUCCUUUCGGUACUAUCACAGUAUCACUAUAAAUAUAUAUACUCGUAUAUAUAAAAAAAACUAAUAAUUUUCUUUUAAUUAACCAUAUGAAAUCAAUAAUUAAUUAUUACAUUUUUAGAAAUAAUAAUUUAAUUAAAAUUGACAAAUAAUAUCAAUAAAUUAAAGCUUCUAAGAAUAAAAAAAUGAAUGUUAUUAAAAUAAUUAUGAAAAUCUAAUUAAAAAGCUAGCUGCCUCAAAGCUCAUUUAAUGCAUGCAUGGCAAUUGCAGGGUCAGGUAUGCACACGCCCUGAAAAAGAUUGCUCAAACAUUUUCUUACAUACAGAGACUUUUUUGCCUAAAAUUAUACCCUCAAUCAUUUAACAUCUCCUUUUCUUAUCUGCUAAAUUCGAUUUAAUAAAAAUAAUUAAAAAUUUUGAAUGACAAAAAUAUGAACUUUUAAAACCUAAAUGAUUAUUGGAAAAAAAAUAAUUAACAGAGAAAUUUAUAUUUUAAUAUAAUGAUAAAAUUGUACUUUAAUUCCUCUAGUAAUUCAUAAUUCAUAUCUAACUUUCUUUAAAAUAAUUUUCUAACUUCGUCCAUGCUUCAGCAUAUACAGGGGCAAAAUCACCUUUAAUCCUUUUAUAAUUUUAAAAAAUUUAAAUUAGCAUAUGGUAAAAUUACACUUUACCUCUCAAGAAUGAGAACAAAAUUAGUAUAUAAACUAUUAAGAUGAUAAAAUUUUACUUUUACUAUUAUAAAAAUAUACAAUUUUAUUUCGACCCCUCAAUUUCUCUGAAUUUUGAUUGAUUUCCACUAGUUGCCACUAAAUUGUACUAAUGUAGAGUUGAAUUUUAUUCCAAAAAAGCUACUAAUGGUAUCAAUUCAAUACAAUAUAUAUAUAUAAAGUUCAAUGAUUUCGAUAUACCGUUUGCACAAUCAACACGUUUGGUCUAAAUAAUUAUGAAAAAGUUGUAAACUCAUCAUUGAAUACAAGUAUCAUGAACAUUAAAAUAUUUAUCUAUUUCUAUUAUUAAAAACUGACAUGAUUAAUAAUAAAAUAACAAAAUAGUUACAAGUGUCACGCCACGUGUACCUCACUCUAAUGUACAUUAACCAGUUUUUAACAAUAGAAAUGGAUGCAAAUUUUAACAGAAAGACUAGUCUGCUGUUUGAUUUAAUGCAUAAAGACUAACUUACCCAAUUUUAAUAGAAGGGACAAAAUAAAAUCUGACUCUCAGUACAAACAAGACUCCUGGUACUUUUACCUAUUGAGAAACAAUGGAAUUGAAAAAGAAAGUUGGAAGUUCAAAUUCAAUGGGAUAGAAACCUUGAAAGGACAGUGGAUAGUUCUCUUUGAUCUAUAUAACAAGUGAUAUAACAAAACAGUAAUUUAAUUUGAUUAUUAUAAAACCCUGGAAAGAAUCUUACAGUACAAUAAAUAGUUGUUCAAGAAUAUCAACUUGCAAUUCUACUGAGUUGAGGAACUAGCUCCUUAUCUGUAGAGUUUUUCAAAUGUUUGAUGAUUUCGUCGACAUACGGAGCUUCUAAGCAAAUCCUUCUUCUAAGCAUUAACCUAGCAAGCUUCACAGCUUCAACUGAAUGGCUUUGCCGACACAAGCCAACCAAAAGAAUAGAAAAGAUGUCAGUGUCGAUGGAUGAAAUGUAUUGCAUCCGCUCGAUUUCAUUGUAUAAGCAAAAACCAUCUAGCACUCGUCCCUCAUGACAGAUCUCCCUAAUCAUGGUACUACAAGCAAUGCCACUAGGUUUAGCCCCACUUACUAACAUUUUCCUAAAGAGCUUCUCUGCCUCAUUGAGUCUAUUAAUCCUAAUCAAAGCCAAUACAAGAGAACUGUAGCAAUCACUAUUGGAAACACCACGUCCGGCAACUCUAUCGAUCAACUUAUAUGCUUCUUCGACAUGUCCCUCGGUGCAAAGACCCGUGAUCAAAGUAAUAACAGUUAUACGGUUAGGAACACACUGGCAAGCUUCCAUUCUAUCCAAAAUCCUCAAUGCCUCUAUUGUUUGACCCUUCUCACAAAAGCUUUUAAUCACAGAUGUAUAUGUGAUUACAUUUGGACUACAAUUCCCACCUGCUUUCUCCAUCUCCCCUAAUAAUUCCAAUGCCUUUUCCGUACUCCUGUACUUACAAAUACCCUCGAGAAGCACGGAAUAAGUCACAGCAUUUGGAGAAAACCCUUGCCCCUUCAUAGCCUGAAACAACUCACAAGCCUCCUCCAAUCUACCAGCAUUACAGAACCCCUUGAUCAUUGCAAAAUAAGUCAUCAUAUCGGGAUAAAGAUCAAUCAAGCCAAUCUCUUUCAUCAAUUUAUGAGCCAUAUCCAUAUCCCCUUUCUCGCAAAGCAGCCUGAUAACCACAUUAUAAGCAGUAGUAUCCGGACGUAAAUUAAAUUCAGGCAUUUUCCUCAAUAGCAACAAAGCUUCAUCGGCAAUAUUAGCUUCUUUACACAAAUUCAAAACAACCUUAAACAUUUUAAGGUUAACUGAACACUUUUCCAUCCUGUAAGCUUUGAUAACAUCCAAAACAAGAAAUGGGUUUUGCUUAAUUUUCAAAAAUCCAGCAGCUUUGUUGUACAUAUAAGAACUAUACCUACAAUUUGAUUGAAGACCUGCCCAUAUGAAAAACCUUAAACCUAUUUGAGAUAGAGAUAUAUCAAAAGAACAUCUUUUUAACACCUCACAAACACAGUUUGGGUCCAAUUUGGCAUUGACUAAAGCUAAGGUUUUCUCUAUAUUGCUUUGGUUUUUCUCUAAAAGAGUGAAAAAUUUGUCGGCAGAGGAGGCCGAUCUGAAUUGAAGAUUGAAAAUUUUGCUUUGUUUAGUGUGAAUUGAAAGUGAAAUCAAUCUAGAGAGUGAAGCAAUUGGCAUUGCUUUGUGGGGGAAUUUAGUGUCUUUGCAAGAGUUGAGGUUGAACAAAACAAUGAGGUAAAAUCUUACGAGAUUGUUUCCGAAUGAAGUUGGAUAAGUUUUGGCAAGAAUGAGGCCAGGUGUACCAAGUUGUUCGAAUGUGGCCCAGUACGGUGGCAUCAACUCAUAGCCAGGCAACCAUAACCUCAUAUAUGGCCCUGCAUUAUAACGAUAGAGCAUUAAGGUAACUCACAAUUACGUAUGAUUUUCAUUUUAUUAAAAACAUAACAGUAUCAAGCAUAUAUCCGUAUUUGAUGUUCAAAUAUGAGUCCGGUGUGUAAAAGCGGAAACACGACAUUUCCUAAAAAUAUUACCAUAUUAGCACAAGUCAGUGAUGGCUAAGCUUCUAUUACAUUGAAAGAUUGUUAAAUCGAAACCUGCAGUUUUAACACAUUAACUUCAUCAAAGUGGAAAAGCAAAACCGAAUUUUAUAAAAAUUAUAAUCGGAAACGAAAUUCACUUUGACGGAAACCGGAAUAACAACUGAGUUUAGUCGGUCGGUCCCGUCGGUUAAUCAUACCGAAAAAAUAUCAUGAAAAAAGCUGUUUUUUUUUUAAUUUACACAAACCAUAAUGAAAGUAAAUUUGUAGUAAAUAAUUGAAUUUCCCAUAAUUGAUCGCAACAAAAAACUCAAUUUACAACCAUAAUUAAUUGGAAAGCUAAUCGAAAGUCAUAAGCUACCUGUUUCAUCUGGCUACUACUUCAAAGGACUACCAUAGAAUUUCGAAAUGGGCCAAAACUAAUUUUAGGGUAAAAGAAAAGUAGGCGAUGAGCAAGACGACAAAGUUGAACAUCAAUAGAUUAAAUAGUUUUAAAAUAAAGAUUGAACAGCUAUAUACAGUAGAUUAAAUGUGGCAAAAGCCAAAAAUAACUUACAGUGGCCGGUGACGAGGCGUUUUCCGAUGAGCAAGGCGGCAACCGAGGUCAGAGAAAGGUUGAAGGCGAUGAGCUGUUACCCACCGGCGUUGGGUUUGCUGGUUCAGUUCAAGGCUGUUCACCAUAGAUUUAGGCUUUUAUUUUUAAUUCGUUUAAUUUUUUUCUUUUUUAAAUGAAUUAAAAUUUGUAUUUGGGUUUUUUAGUUUUUAGAAUUUGUAUUGGGCUUUAAUUUUUAUAGCUUGGAUCUUGUGUAUAAUGACUUUAUUUGGGGAUUGGAAAAUGAGUAUGAUAUUUAUAUUUUAAAAAUAUAUAAAAUUAAUAAGUUAUAUUAAUUCGAAUUAGAUUUUAAAAUCGAUUGACUUAAAAUAAUUGAAUUAGUCUCUCAAAUCGAUCUGAAAUUAAAAUUGAUUUAAUUGAAUUAAGUGAAUCAAAUUUAAUCGAUUAAUUCGAUUUUAACCAAGUUUUCAUCAUCUUUAAAUUAAGUGAAAGUAUAUAUGUAAAAAUGUAUACUAUAUUUCAAACACAUAAAAGAGUUGGUAUCACGAGUCAACUGGACGCUAACUUAAGUGAAAAUACCCUUACUUUACAAAGUAAAUUGUAUUAUUUUAAGGAUGUUUUUGUCUUUCUACAUCUUUUAUAUAGAAAAAUGUAUACAUAUAAUAAGACUUUAACUUGUGUAUUUAUAGUUUCAACAUUUAUACUUUACAAUUCAACCGAAGUCUCAUUUACUAUAUUAAUUAAUUAUAAAUAUAUUUAUUAAUAAUAUUAUGUUUUUCGUCUACGUGGUUGUGUCAUAAUCUAGUAAUAAUAGUAAAUAAAGUUUAUGCAAUUUAGGUUAAGUGAGUCACAGUACACCCAUCUCUUUACGCGCAUUUCGUUUUUAUCCCAAAGCUUUAAACUCAGCACGCAGUCCUAGUCGUUCGCCGCAAUACUUCGCUUUUCUUCAGUGGUUUCUGGCAUUGAUUUUGGUUUCAAUAUGUUCCCCUUAAUCUCCUGUCUACUAUUCUAGGAUUAUAUUCCAACAUCAUUGGUUUUCUCUAAUCUAAACUCAAAGUUUUGGUUGGCGUGCUUUCGGUCUCCCUCGCACACUGUUAACUACAACUCAAAUCUUAUAGUAGUCACUUUGAGCUUUCCAAAUCUAGUUUGACUAAACUUGGGUCAAUGAAGCAUUUCACCAACGCCAUUCACUGCUCGACCUUCUCAUGAAGCCAACGACUUGUUCCUUCUGUUCUCAUGAAUUGUAGGUUUUAUGUUUUCCCUAAUUUUUAUUCCUUGUUGGAUUGCAUUGUGUCACGGGUCAAGACUUUAGCUCCGAUCAUGUGUGACUUUAGAUUCGACUAAGUAAGCCCCAUUCAAUCCAACGGUUACAAUUGAUUACAAUAAAUGGUCAAUAUCACAUUCUAGAACUUUCCCACUUAACUCCAUUAAAUUCUAUACAUGAACGGAUAGUUCUAGAGCUUCCAAAAAUAUUCUACAUGGUUCUAAAGUCUUUCGGGGCACUUCGGGAAUCUUGUGGCUCAAUAGUCUCGUGUUUGCUCGAUUUCGGGCUUGAUAAGGCCUUGCUCACUCACGAAUCAUGACACUUGGAUUAGUUUCCUUGCUUUGUCUCUAUUUUUUUUUCAAUUGCAAACUAGGAAAUCAAGAAAACUACUAGGUUUGUGCUAGGGAAUUUGCUUCAAGGGUAGGCAUUUCAACCCUUAAGGUUCUUUUGGAAGGGUAAGGAUGAAGGUAAAAAUGGGCUAGACUGUGUUAACCAAAGGUUUCAAAGAAUUUGACAUUCAAGAUUGUUAUAUUGCUACCUCGGCUUGGGCAUGUGGUAACAUGAGAAGCGAUUGAGGAAACACACAUGGAUGGCCUUCCACCUUAUAUCGUCCAUAUGAUUUCUCAAUGACCAAUCACCUGCAUGCUUCGUACUACCCAGGGGAAAGAUUAUCUAUCCUUAACCACUCGAUUGGAACCUUCGUUAGGCCACCCGCUAUUAGCUAGUGCACUCUCCUCAAGAGGAGACCUUCGAGUGGUGUAAUUGGACAGGAGAACUCCUACCUAUAAAUACCACAAGAUACAACAUAAAAGGGAUCUUCUUCUUCCUUCUCAUAAACCCUAAAUAACAUACUAAGCCCUUAGUCUCCUCUUAUUCCCUCACUUUUCCAACUCUUCACUUGUUUAGAUUAACCAACCUCCUUCGCUCCACCACCUUCUCCACCAUAUUUCCUUGUUUGUUGAUAUAUUGUAUCAACAAAUAUAUUUAAAAUAAAUAAAAUAUAUAAAUAUAUGAAGUUUGUUAAGUUGAUUGGUUCAAUUAUGAAUAUUAAUAACCUUAAACUGACUAACUUAAUCAAAAGCAUGUGCCAACUAAUUUAAUAAAAUACACAAACCCGAUAUCGGUUUAACCGAAUGAACCAAUUAAAUCAAUAAUAUUCGAUUUUUGCUUACCCUAUGUAUCCAAAGAGAAAAGAAAAUCGAUUUUCAUCCAAUUUUUUUAUUCGCUCUGCCUACCAUGCGGUGAAGGUUGAACUAUAGAAAGAAAAAAAAAACCAUGCCCUUUCCAAUUUCAAAAUCGAAAAUUUUUCAAUCAAAGUACCAUAAAAGCUCAUGUAGUAGAAGUUAAAUUGUGUUUUGUCCCUUUUACUUAAAAAAUUAAAAAAUUAGUCUCUAUAUAUUAGGGCAAGGAACAAAUUGGUCCUUUUAGCUAAAAAGUUCAUCAAUUUUUAACAAUAGAAAUGGAUAAAAUUUUUAACAGAGGACUAAUUGACUCUUUAAUCUAAUAUAGAUUAAUUUGGUUCUACUACAGGGUCAUCCACGAUACAUUUACCAAAAAUUUUCUCAUAUCACAUAGGUUUCUUUUUGGUUUAUAUCACAAGUGUCCUUAUUCGAUAUGAGAUUAGUUUCGCUCGGGUUAAGAAUGGAUUCGAGUAAAGCCCUCUCAAUAAUGAGAAUUCUAAAAAUCGAACUUAACCUAAAUUACCGACGGAAAAAUCCACUCUUUCCAAGCACUUGUUAAUACGGUUUAACAAUAUAUUUAGACAAAAAUAAUAAUAAUUGAAAUAAUCUACAUUCUUCUUAUGAUACAUCUGUGAUUUCAUAUCCGUUUUGUAAGAACUGGUUGGCGUUUAUGGUGUUUGGUUGCUGUUUUUUGUUCCAUAGUUGUCUUCUUUCUUUGUAUAUGUACUGAAUUACGGCUUUUUCCUCUUCUCAAAUGCUCCUUUCAAUACUGUCAUCCCACCCUAUCUUUCAAAUUCUAUUGCCUUUCUUUCUCUAUCUUCUAUUAUAUAUAGUAACUUGUCUCUGUUUCCCAAAUCUUUGUUGGCCAUUGUAGCUUAAACAAAAGCUCAACACCCGAGGUUUUAAGAAAAAAGGUUUGUUUUCCUUUUCUGCCUUCUCUUUUUUCCUUUUUGUCAUUCGCUUCUGCAUUAACUUACUUGUCCUUCGAUCGUUACAUCAUUUCAACAGACUGUGAUAUAUCGCCCGCCCUUAUAAUAUUAUUACCACUCUCCUCUUCCGUUAUAAAAAGUAUCCAAAUUUUGCCAUCGUUUUCUUCAUCAAAAUGAGCCAUAGUUUCAUAUUUUCCCUUCUUCUUCUCUUGAUUUUAAGCUCAACCCAACUGAGAUACAAAGCUGAAGGUAACUUUUAAUCAUCUUUUUCAUUAGGCAAUUUUUUCUUGCUUGCUUACUUUUGUUUCUGCAGGUAGAUCAAUACCAAAAUCCGAUGAAGAAAAGGCGAGGUUAAGAGCACAGAUAGGAUCAAGGCCACCAAGGUGUGAGAGAAGGUGCAAUUCAUGCGACCAUUGUGAAGCCAUUCAAGUGCCUACCAAUCCUCAAAUCUCCCAUGUUGCUUAUGCAAGAGGUGAUGGAAGCUCUAACUACAAACCCAUGAGUUGGAAAUGCAAAUGUGGCAACUUCAUCUUCAACCCUUAGCUCAUAAAUACAUAUAUAUUUUAGGUUCUUAAAUACCCAUUUUUGAACCAUGUAAGUAUUUUUCUUUUUUUGCUUGUGAGAACAUAUUAGAACUCCAUUGUGAAAUUUCUUGAUUAUCUGAAUCUUUAAAAAGAAAAUGAAUCUAUAGUACUUGCUGUUGCUGUGGGGCGUGUAUUUGUACUGGUAUAUACGUACUAAGAUACGAUUUCUUGGGCAAAUCGUUAUGACGUUGGGAGGAAGGGGGGUCUAGAAAUUAGUGUAAAGUAUUUACUUAAAAAGUAGACAAUGAUUUUUGAGUUGGUAUAGUUUCACCAUACACGCCAUCGUGUCUGGUUUUGGUGUCAACUAUUGUCGAAAAAUGCGAUAGGAAUUGAAGUGAUCAGAGAGGGUAAAGGAAAAAGCUUAAACUGUUCUUUUAAUGGCAGAUUCCAGUUGUUUUUUCUUCUUAUUGCCUCUCUUCGUUGCUUACUUGGCGUGUAAGGAAUUACAUAGUAACGAUUCCGUUUUCCUUGAAAACUUACUUGAACAGUCAGCUCGCCUGGUUUCGUUAACAUGACAAAACAUACAUGGGUCUAAAACCAAAACAACUUUUAGGAUUUAAUCUAAUUGUCUGAAUUGAUUAUCAAGAUUGCUCCGUUGGUUUAUUUCAUUGUUUCAUAAUGAUUAAUUCGAUUUUUUAAGUAUUUAAAUUAGAUUAAGUGCAAUUUUCAGUAAAAUAAACCAAUCCAUUUAAUCAACUUUUCUAUUUUUUUUAAAUAUGUUUAUAAUAUAUAAUUUUUUUGGGUAAAUAAAGGUAGUAGACACUAUUAUAAAUAACAAUCCCUCUAAAUCAUCAUGUAUUAACUCCAAAACAUGAUCAGUUAGUUACAAGAAUUUGUAAAACCUUAGCUCUUAUCAAAAGAUUUAUUUAAGUAUCCGCAACCUUAUUACCUUCUCUGUUGACAUGUGGUAUCUUCACUUCCCAUUGGUUUUGAAUCAAUUGUUUAACAUCUCAAGCCACUGCAUACUAAGGUACAUCUUACGUAGAGUUCUGCAACAUUUGGAUAGCAUCUAAGUUGUCCAUCUCAAGAAUCACCUUCCUAAUACCCAUACUCCAAGUUUGUCGUAGACUAUUAUAAGCUUCCCACAGCUCAACUUCUACAAUUGAGCAUAUAUCAAUCUUUUGGACAAAUCUUAUCUUCCAUUAUCUCGUAUGAUCUCUAAUAAUAUAUAAUUUUUUAACUAAACUUUUAUUGCUAUUUUUAUAUCUCUUACAAUCAUAUUUGGAAGGAAAUAUCAAGAAGAAAAUCAGCUCAAUUUACUUAACCCGCCUAAGAAUGAAUGUUGAGCUUAGAUAAAUUAAGAACUAAAUUAAUCUUACAAAGUUAAUGAAUUAUGAAUACGAGUUGAAUAGUUUAAGGUAUGUUAGACAUUAUUUUUAGGAAUAUUUAUUUAUAUUUUAUAAGAUUUAACAAGUUUUUCUAUCAAUAUAUUACACGCGGAAAAUUCAUCAUCUAAACUCCUAAUGAUGUACAAUGACUUGUAAAUAAGGGUGUCAAAGUUUUCUUUAAGUAACGUGAAAUUUUGUUUUUACAAUUAAUCUACCUAUGAGAUUAGCUAGUUAAAUCGAUUUGUUUUCAUUUUUCAACUAGACAGAUAAAGGUCUUUGCCACCUUAAAAAUGAAAAUUUGUGAUUUAAUCCCUCUGUAAAUGAUAAAUUAUAAAAUUACAUUUUAAAUUUAAAAUGAAAAAAGAUCUAUUUAAUUCCUUUAAAAAUGAUGAAAUCUUAAGUUAAUACAUUAUAAAAAUUAUAAUUCGAUUCUAACACCUAAUAAGUUUCUAGAUAUGACCAUAUACCCCAACCAUUAAAUUGGUCUUUCACAAAUUCUCGUAGAUAAAAUAAUAUUGCAGAAACCAUAUUAACCAAUUAUUAUAAACACAAAUCAAGCAAAAGGAGUAGCUUAAGUUAAGACCCAUCAAAAACAACGUUUUGGAUCCAAUAGAGAGGAGUAAAAAUCCUCAACAAAAUAUACUAAAGAAAAAAUAAACAAUAGAGAGCUGUUUCUAUACAAGAGGAAAUGAAAAGACAGAAGAGAGAAAAAAAAAAAGGAACCAAUCAAUCAUGGUGAUGAUGAAGAAGAGCUGAGGAUAAGAGUUGAUGGGAUAUUUCAUUAUCAUAUUGUAUGAUUAUUUUUUCCAUCUAUGGGUUUUUUUUAAAAAAAAAACUUUGUUUUACGAAGUGAAAUUCGCUAUACUACAAAAUUCAUGCAUAGAUCUUUCACGUAGACAUGACUAAACAAAGGGUUUUCCUUGCAUAUAGGUACGAUUUUCUUUGUUUUUUUUGGGGGGGAGGGGGGGGGUUAAAAUCAAUCAUAUAAACAGUGGGAGCAAAGGAAAAUAUACUGAAUGACAGUAGCUAAUGGAUAGGCAGACAAGGUGCUGUUGCAGCAAACAAGUAAUGGGGUCAAUACCUAUAUGGGUGCUCUUUGUUGGCUCAAGUUUGGACAGUAAACAUAUACGUUUGUACAUGUAAAUUUUGGAAAUCUAUUAUUCUAUUUUUAGGUCAAUUGUAGCAUACAUCUAGAAUAUUGAAUUGGUUUUCAAUUAUAUUUGAGUUUUUUUUUUAAUUACAAGAGGAGGGCAAAGUCUUAACAGGAACACGUUUUAAACUCAGGCCAUGCUUGAGGUGAUGAACACUCUGAUCAUCAGGCCAAUACACGGGAUAAGUUUAGAUGUUGAAUGUUAAUUUGAAUUUAACAUGAAUUAUAGGGUUUAAAUUUUGAUUAAUGGGGAGUCAACAAUGGGUAUUAAUAAUUGAUCUCUUAUGUUGUUGUCAUCCAUAUAUUUUAAAUAUGCUUCACAUUAAAUCAAAACUAAUAUUUAAUGCCUGAGCUAAAUGGCUUACUUGAUGUGAUACUAAUAUUUUAAAGAUUCAAUUAAAACUUUUUAUAAUUUAUGAACUAAUUUAAAAUAUGGAUCGCUAAUGUCUUCAUUAGAUGGAGAUAGAUUGAAGAUUAGUUCUAAGCUUCAGGUUUAUAAUAGAGUUUAUGUUCUGGGAUAAUCUCUGAUGUUUAAGUCAAUGGAAGAAUGACGAUGAAAGUUUGAAAUAAUGUUGUUAAGUGUAUAUGUAGUGGUAAACAUGUUUCUUCUUUAUCCUUGAGCCCCUAGCUGUGUCUAUAGUCAUUGUUCUUGAAGACAAACGAAGAUUAUAUUUAACUCUUUGUUGAAGAUUAUAAUUAGUUGAAGUAUGCGUCCUUAAUUGGAUAAGAUUAUAUUUUUAACUCUUUGUUGGGUACAUGCAACUUAGUCAUCACAUCGCACAUAUAUAUGCACUUGAGAGAUAAGGGGCCUUCCAAGCUAUUGUUUGUGAGAGCUCGAGGCUUUAGCUCUCGACUAAUAUAACUAACGUUAUAAUUUGAGGAUCACCGAUGAAUUAAUCAUUUACUUUUUUCAAAUUUAUUAAAAUAUUAUUUUAUAAAAUAAUUAUUUCCAUCCAUUAUAUAUUGAUUUAAAUCAUGAGUUAAUGUCACCUUUGACCCAUAAACAAUAAUAAUCACACGAUUAAUUCUGAUAAUUACGUCUAUAAUUGUGAUGUAUAAACAUAAUGUGAUAUUCUUUAUGGCAAUUUAAAUUCCUAAGAUGAAGUGACAAAUGACAUAUUUCCAUAACAUAGAGAAAAAUACUGACGGUACAAUAUGCAAAUUCCAGUGGCAAACUUUGCAUCAAUUUAUUAUAUGACUAUAUUUUUGGUACAAAUAAAAUUUAUAUUACAUUUUAAAAAAUUCACAGAAAUCCAAUUCUCAAUAUACGAUAAUGGUUUUUUUUUUUUUAAACCUAGAUUAUUCACUACAUGUAGUAAGGCUUAAUUUUUUUACAGUAAAUAUUCUCCGAAUAAGUAAAUGAAUAAUCAUAAAAAUUGUGACGCUUUUAUUCCUUGUCGAUUAAAAUAAAUUUAUUUAAUUAAAAUGGUAAUAUAAAUUUAGAUUAAGGAAUAACUUACAAGGAUGAUCUUAAAAAUUAAGGUUUUUAGAUAUAAAUAAAUUUUGUCACAUCAUUAAAUUUUAAUGUUAUAUACACUCAUCUAUAGAACAAUUAUUUUAUGAACCAUUCUCAGUACCACAUGAUUCAUGGUCCAUUUCCAAUUAUUUAACAAUAUUUUAACAAAUUUUUCCAUGUCAUUGACACAUAAUUUUGGUAAUUUUUUACAUUGAAUCUAGAUUCCUGAACCCUGAUGUAAUAACCCGAUUUUAGGCCUAGUCGGAACAGUGGUUUCGGGACCACAAAUCCGACGAGAAAAAAAAUGUAAUGGCCUGAAUUUUCAGAGGUGUCGGAACGGUGAUUUGAGAUCACAAAAUUUGACAAAUGGGUAGAAAAUAUUGUUAAUUUAGUAAGUAUAAGUUAAAUGUGAAGUUAGGAAAAUUUUUGAAAUAGUGAAUAGUGCACUAGAAAUAAAUAUUAAAAUAAUUAGAAUCGAAAUGAGGUAUCAAGACCUCGGGGAUUUUAAACCGAGCCAUAAAUAUUUUUAUAAAUAUUUAUGGAGUGUCAAAAAGUUAGUAUUAAAGUUUCGUUAAGAAAUUUUAAAGUUCUGAUAAUUAAUUGAACAAAAAGGACUAAAUUGUAACAAAUGCAAAAUUUUGGGAAAUGAUUAAAUAGCUUAAAUGAUAAAAGGAAGAGGGCUUAAAAGGAAAAUAGACCCAAGGUCUAUUUGGGCUGGACGGCAAAGGCAUGAAAUCAGCAAGAAAGUAAGAAGAAUUAAGGGCAAAAUUGGAAUAUUGUAAAAUUUGCUUAAUAAAGUUAGGACCAAAGUGGAAUUAUCUAGAUUUCUCUUCAUUUUUCUGAAUUCUCAUCAGCUAAAACACCAUGGAAGGGCUUCUUCAAGCUGGUUCUUCAUAUUUUUAUUACAAGUAAGUUCAAUUCUUGACUAUUUCUUGAAAUUUUUGUAUUUUUAUGACUUUUACAACUAGGCCCACUUGUUAAAUUCAUUAGUUUUUGAUUUUAUGAAAGAAGUUGAAAGUUGAUAUGAAUAUGUGCUGGAAUUAUAUGAUGAUUUAUCAUGAAAUUAGAGCUUUAAAUUGUUCAUAUGCUGAUUUUAUUGAAAGAAUUGAAUAGAAAGUGAAUGUUUGGGACCUAAUAGUAAAAGAGUUUGAAUAUAGAGUUAUAUGUGGAAAUUCUGAAUUUAAGUAGUUGUGUAACAACUUAUAAUGUCUAGGUAAAGUAUUAAUUGAGAAAAUUAGAUUAAUUGAGGGGUUAAUUGAGAAAGGACCGAAUUGUAUAAACUGUGAAAUUUGGGGCAAAAUGGAAAUCAACAUUUUGCACUAAAGCAGUUUUGGACAGCAGCAGUAGUGUAACUUUGAAAAAUCACCAAAAAUUGUAGAGAUUGAAUUAAAGGAUGAAUAAAAUAUGAAACUAAAGCUUAUUGAGUCUAGUUUCUUAUAAAAGAAACUAUGUGAGCAAUAGAAUUGUAAAUCAUGAGAUAUAAUAGAUUUUGUGAGACAAGGUCAGAAUGAAUUCGGGUUCCCCUGUUCUGACUUUGGAAAAUCAUUAAAAAUUGUAAAAAAAUGAUUAUGAGUUAUAAUUUAUAUGGUUAGAAUCCUUAAUGAGUCUAUUUUUAUAAAAAACAAACAAAAACAUCAUCUGAGUUCUGUACAAUGAGAUAAUUAAUUUUUAGUGAUGAGUGGUCGGAACUGUCAGACAGCGAAACAGGGGAAAAUUUAAAGAAUAAACUGUACUAUUUGACUGAACCAAAAAUUCUGAAAAUUUUAUGGUAUGAAGAUAUGUGAGUCUAGUUUCAGGGAAAAUUAACGGAUCUUAAUUUGGAGCUCUGUAGCUCUGGAUAAAAAUAAUUUAGUGACUCUGACUCGGAUAAACAGUUUUGAAUAUACAUGUGAGUGAAUAGUGAAAUUAUAGCUAAUGUUGUUUAAGUGUGUUAUACACAUUAAGGAUGUGGAAUGGAGAGGAGGAGGAGGAAAAUUGGGAAAUAUUUGAAUGAUUUGUGUAUAAUUGGUCAUGGUUUAAGCUCAUGUGUGAAAAUAAAAGUUUCAUAGUAUGUGUGUAUGGUAUAUUCGGUAUAUGAUUUGGCAUGAAAUAAUGUCAUGAAUGGUUUAUGAAUUAACACAUGUUGGUAAGCCUGAUACAUGAAUAAAUGUUGUGCUCAUCCAUGCUUAUAAUGCUUAUGCUAUACGUGUAUUUGGCUAACAUAUUUGGUGUAUAUGCUUAGACUUUGGCCAAGUAGUGGCUAGAUUAUGCCACGUUAAAUUUAUAAGUUAUGCAUUGAAAUGGUUUAUCGUGUGGUUAGUUCCAAAAAGAGUCAUGUUUAAAUACACUAGCUUGCAACUAUGGUUGAAUGAUAUGCUUAUAUCUUGUGUGAUGUGCAUAGAAACAAGUGUGGAAAGAUAAUGAAAUAAUAAGUUCAUAUGGCUGAAAUUUAAUGAUUAAAUGUUAAUUUCAUGAAUUAUACAAUGUAUGAUGAAAUGUAUUCAUUUUUGAAAUGAGAGUAAAAUAAAAAUGCGAAAAUCGAAUAAAUGAUCAAAUUAAACGGAACGCCGGAUUUGAGUACUUCUGAUCAAGAGAUAAAGUGAUAGGUGGUAGCUUUAGCUACACUUAUCUGAUCAAGUGAAAAAGUGAUAAGUGCUACACUUAUCUGAUCAAGAGACAAAGUGAUAAGUGGUAGCUUUAGCUACACUUAUCUGAUCAAGUGAAAAAGUGAUAAGUGCUAUACUUAUCUGAUCAAGUGAAAAAGUGAUAAGUGCUAUACUUAUCUGAUCAAGUGACAAAGUGAUAAGUGUUAGCCUUAGCUACACUUAUCUGAUCAAGUGAGAAAGUGAUAAGUGGUAGCCUUAGUUACACUUAUCUGAUCAAGUGACAAAGUGAUAAGUGUUAGCCUUAGCUACACUUAUCUGAUCAAGUGACAAAGUGAUAAGUGGUAGUCUAGCUACACUUAUCUGAUCAGGGACAAGUGAUAAGUGAUCAUACGUAAUACCAUAGUUAUACUAUGGCAAAGUGAAAGUGAAGUACUCAAUUUUCCGUAACCGUUCCCUAAUUUGAUUAAGGAUGGUAAGUGACAAAUGGACCCAAAAGAAUUAAAGUAAAUGGAUAAGUGGUAGUGUAUUUAUAUCAGGACGAUGUUGUUAUUCAAGCUAAAGUGAUAUUUUCAUUGCAAAAUUGAGAAUUUCAUAAAUGUGUUAUUGAAUGGUAUAAUCAAUAAACAUUGAGUUAAAUGGUAAAUAUGUAUCAGUGUUGAACUUGAUGUCAUUGAAUUGUACGUGAGUUAAAUGGAAAUUGCUAGUGAUAUGAUCUAAAUUGUGAGCAUGAGAAAUUGCGAAUUGAAGGAAAUGGAAAUGAAGCAUUGAAUUGCAUGAGUAUGUAUCGGGUCUCGUAAGCCCUAAUUAUUAUGAUUAUAACAUUUUGAGGAUAUAUUGUGAAAAGUUAUAGGAGCAUGUUAAUUAUUUUGAAAGUUAAUUUAGAUGAAAUUUUAUAACUCGGUUAAAUACGUUUACAAGUGCAUGUGUUUUGGUAAUGUCUCGUAUCCUAUUCCGGUAUUGAAUACGGGUAAGGGGUGUUACACCUGAACUCAAAACCUAGAACCUCAAACCCUAAACUCGUAGCCCGUAACCUCAAACCUAAACCUUAAAUCUUGGGGUUUGGGGUUCAAGGUUUAAGGUUCAGGAUUCGAGUUCAAGGUAAAAUAAUUUUCAAAAUUAUGUGUCAAUGACAUGAAAAAAAAUUGCACAAAAAUUAUUACUUUUUAAAAAAAUGGUUGCACAAAAAUAAAAAAUGUUAACUUAUGGAAAAAAAUGAUUAAAUUUUGUAAAAAAAAUGUUUGUUUAUAAUUUAAAAAAUUAAAUAUUUUAAGUAAUUUAAUUAAAGUUAAAUUAAGUUGGAGAAGAUAUUGGAUAUAGAUAGUGUAUUAUAAUAUUUCGUUAUCUUUAAAAUUUAAUGACGUGGUACUAUUUUAUUGGUGCCUAAAAAUUAUGCUUUUUAGAAUAAUCCUAAUAUGAUUUAUUCCCAGGACAAUAUCAUAAACAAUAUAUGUAUGAUUAAUAAGUACAAUUACAGUUAUAACCCUAGUAUAAUUACAAUACGAAUUACAAAUAAUAUAUAACCAAUCAAUUUAAUGUAAAAUAUAAUAGACUAAAACCUAAAAUAUUAUCUAGAUUUAAACGAGAAUAAAUCUUAACAAAAUCUAGACAUAAUAAACUUAAAUCCAAAAUAAUCUAAAAAAAAAAUCCGUAUCUCAAUUUCUACCAUAGUAUAAAAACUUUAUUAGGUUUUAAAAAAUUAAAUCAAUUAAUUUGCUAUUACUUAAAUAAGUUGAUUAUAUUAGUGUAAUGUAGUUUAGAUUUUGUCCAAUUAAUUAUGAAAGAACAAAUGUAACUUAGGAAAAAUUGAAAUGUUUGAAAAUCUUUGAGAUAUAUUCUCGAUUGGUAAAGGUGGAGAGUUGAAUCAUAAAACUAUGAUUUUAUAUUCUACUCCAUGAGGCCUUUACAACAGUAUAUCAUAUGCUCAAAAUGGUUGAGUAAUGAAUGAGAAAUUGAUAUUCAAAGCAAGUUACUUGUGAAUAUUUGUUGAGGAAAAGGAAAGCUUGGAUUCCACAUUGGUUAAAUACCAAGUUAAUAUGUGUGUAUAUAUGAGAAUCCACUUGAAGGGUGAUUGAAUGACUAAACUUGAAAUUUUACUUUGCGCGUAAAAAGGGUGCAAAUCUAAACACAUCGGAGUUAGGAUACAUCUGCACGACGUAGGCGACACAAAAUGUCCGAACCGAUCAAGCUAAUAUUGAGUUUUCGAAUAUUUUAGUUCAACAUGAAAUUUAUUUUUCUCAGCAAAUAUAUACAAAAUAUGAUUUAAAAUGACAAAUAUCCUGAUUUUAUUUGAUUUGAUUCCAAUUAAAUUGAUUUAAUUUCUCCUUUAAUACAGAUUUUGAUAUUUAUUCCUCCAUAUUGAAUACCUAUAAAAAUCUAAGAAUUCUUUAGAAUUUUUUGGACACACUCUCUCUCACAUCGAGUUUAUUUUGCUAUCCAGAAUUCUUCUCUUUUCCUCUCCAUAUUUUCCAAUGUUUUCAGUUAUAGAAGAAGGCAAUGUUUGUUCGUUGAUCACCACCGAGGUAUUAUUGCUUUGAUCAUCGUGUUGUUGUAUCCUAGGAGAUAGUCGAUCAACGUUUCUCCAAGUAUCGUAGGAACUGCCAAAUCUGUCUUUAGGAAACUAUGUAAAACAAGCAUCAACAUUUUAUAAAACUCGAUUCUUUAUUCGAUUUCUGAUUUUUCAUGAUCAUAUUUAUUUAAUUUAUUUUUCAUAUUUGGUAUUUUAAAUAUAAAUAUUUAUUUAUAUUCAUAUUUGUUGACUAACUAUUUUGCUACAUUCAGUCACCACAACAUGUGAAUAUUUAUGUCUAAAUACAGUGAUGUUUUUAAUAAAAAGAGAUUGAGCAAAUCAACCAAUUGAUAUUUUAUUAAAACUUUUUUAUUCUUAUUGCAUGUUCUAUAAAGCCACAUUUUUCGCUUUUAGCUGUGAGUUGCAUCAGGUCUAUUUAUUGUGUGACGUGUUAAUUCACAUGUUAUUUAUCAGUUAAUAAUACUUAUAAUAAAUUUCUUAACUGAUUUACAGAAUAUAGACGAUUAGUUAUUAGGUUCGUUCGAAUAAUUACUUUAAAAAAAUAUGUCGUUAGUCCUCAUACUCUAUAGAAUUUAAAACUUAAUCCUGUUAAAAAUUUACUUAUUUUACUUUUUCAAUUAAAAAAUCUUAGUUCAAUCAUUUUUGUCGUUGAAAUCUAUUAGUAUAAUAUGUUUAUUUUUCGUCAAUCAUAUACCAUGUUGCUUAAAAGGCAACCUAAUCAAUAUAGCAAAUUAACAAUUUUUUUGGAAAAUAUUUACAAUUUUAAUGAUUGUCUAGGAAUUUUUAAAUAAAAAAUAUAUGAACUAAAACUUAAAUUUUAUCAAAGUAGAGGGACUACAUAUUUUAACCAAUAGAUAAUAUUCAUACCAAUUACACUAUAAGCAUAAGUGAUGAAAAUUUGAACAAAGCGAAACUAAUCCGAAAAGGAGUUAAGAUCCGCUCUUACUUUUUCAUUUAUUAAUAUUCAAUACAAUGAUCAUCGCCAUUUAAAUGUGUAAGACCCAUGUAGGACUCAUCUAUUAAAAAUGAAAAUCAACAUGUGAACAAUGAUCAAAUAUGCAUGGAUAUUAAUGGAUAAAAAAGUAAUAGAGUGGAGUCAAACCUUUCGAAUAGAACAAGACAAAACCGACACAUAAUGAAAAUUGGACCCACAUAUCGCAAUUAUAAAUUGUACGACUUGAACUUGGACCUUCAAGGUUUGGAACCUUAACGUUUGCUAACUAUGUUAAGGCCUCAUUGGUUAUAAUUGACAUUAUUUUUAUUUGCUCACUUUUAAAUAAUAGGUUUAUAAGUUUAAAAAAGCCCUUAAAAUGUAAAAAAAAAAUUAAUUAUUAAGCUCCUAUACUAAAUUCACACUCAAUUAAGCCCCUACCAUUAAUUAAAAUAAUCAAUUAAGCCCCUCCAUCAAAGAUUUUGUCAUUGACCACAUUGACCGUUAAAAUAAAUUGAUAGACCAAUCGGAUGGUAACACAUAAUAGCUUCUAGUUUAAUCUAAUAUUUUCUCAUAAAAAUAUUUAAAAAUUAGAAUAAAAAUUAUAAAAAUAAAAUUAUUAAUAUUAAAUUUAUAUAAACUUCUAAAAAUUAUAAAAAAAUAUAUAAAAAUAAUAAAUUAUAAUAAAAUAAUAAAAUAUUUUUUAAAAAUAUUUAAAAUUUUAUAAAAAUUUUAAAAAUCAUAAAAAUUUGAAUUGGACCGGAUCAGUUUAUUGGACAGAUUAGACUGAAAUCGACAAAGAUAUCGGUACAGAGAAAGUUAUUAAACUGAUUAACUUAGGAAUUGGACAAUUGAAACGAUUUUUUAUUUAUUUAAUGGAAUCGGAUGGAUCUAUCGAGCUGAUAAAUUAGUGAUUUGAUCGAUUCGGCUAUUAGUCCGAUUUUAAAAAUUUUAAUUAGAAUAUUUCAUUUUGAUAUAUAAUAAUGGUUAGAAAAAGAGAUUUUGAUACGAUAAUAAAAUUUAAAAACAUUAAAUUACCGAUCACCGACUUUAACAUAUGGGUGUUGACAUUUGACACGUGGCCUAAUUUGGGGGGAAAAAAGUGAAUAAUUUUUGUUUGAUGUUUCAAAUAAUGAGUUUAUAAUACUUACCACCUCCCGAUGUUGAGUUCUCUUCCAAAUUGACAGCGAUUGAUGCGGCCAACUCAGACAGAACGACACAGUUUAAUAUCUGUGUGCUUUUCACGCGCUUUUAAGAGUGUGAGCAAAAACAGAAAGAGUGAGAUUGGCAGAGAGAUGAUGAGUUUAAAUUGUCUAAUAUAUUUUUUGUUAUCUAACUAUAGUAUAAAUUCUAAAUUGGUCCUCACAUUUUAAAAUAUUCUAAUUGAAUCCUUAAACUACAAUAGCAUAUCAAUUAUGUCUAUGUCAACCUAGAAAUUAGCUUAAAUGUUAUAUUUAAAAUAAUAGAUCAAUUUAUAAAAAGACAUAUUUACAGUUUGAAUUCAUGUAUUUUAAAUCAAUUGACAUUUAUUGUCUAAAUAAACUGAAGGAUUUUGUUGAUAUAAUAUUAGUACUUUGAGUUGAUUGAGUCUUAGUUCAGUUGAUAUCGAUAUUAUUGUUAGUGUAGGAGGACAUGGGUUCGAGUAUGCUAAAGUGCAUUUAUCCUCUUAUUUAAGGGUUGGAUGGGAUUAUGAAUAGUUUUAGGUAUUGUAUAAAAAAUAUUAAUAUUUUGAGAUUUAUUUACAAUUGGAUCCAUGUAUCUUAAAUAUUCUUCACAUUAGAUCUAAACUAACAUUUAAUGUUUAAAUUAGCGAUUAAGUUGACAAAUUUUUUUUUUGGGGGUUGAGAUAAAAAGCUUUGAUUCAUACAAUAUAUACUUUGAUAUAGGAGUGCAGCGAGGGAGGCAUGCAAAGCCCUAGCCCUUCUAAAAUGAAAAUUUAUUGAUUUAGUCCCCUAAAAUUUACAAAAUCUUAAGUUAUAUUUUACCUCGUCCCAAAAUGCUAAUAUUUUGAUCUAGUUCUUUUGAAAACCAUAAAGAUAUAAGUCAACAUUAGAAUAAAUUUGUAUUUUAGCUCUUAUAAAAAAAUAUAACUUAAUCUCAGCCCCUAAAAAUAUAUAAGCUAAUAUUACGAUUGGGUCCACCUGUUUUAAAUAUUAUUCACAUCAAAUGUGAGCUAGUAUUUAGCACCUAAAUUGACAAUUAAGUUAACAUAAGGACUAAUUUAAAGUCUAAUCAAUCCUUUAAGGACUUUUGAUUAAUUAAUCAUUUUUAGCUAAAGAAUUUUUACACAAUUACCCAUGAUGGAUUCUCGAUCGAUCUAAAGUAAAGUUUUAAUCUUUAACUUAUAUAUUCAACUAAAUUAAUAAUUUUUAAUAUAAAAAAUACAAACUUUAAAUGUAAACAAAUUAUAUAGACAUUUAAUAAAAUGUAGACACUUUUUAAGAAGCACUCCAUAUGAACAUAUAUGUGGUGUUGAUAAAAAGGCACUGUUUCCACAUUUCCAGAUCCAAGUUCAUUCAGCCACCGACACUCAAAGUUUCCUAAUCUCGAAGUCAAGUUUUUUUCUGUCUUCUUUAAAAUUUUCCUGGAAACUUAACCAUUCUCGGGAUUUCCCAAGAAAAGUUAAAGUCUCUCCUUCGUUAGUUUUAGUUUCCUUUUGGGGGAUCAUUUGGAUUCUGGGUAAGUGUAUCAAUGCUUUCUGAAUUUAAUUUUCAAGUAUUAAAAAUGGGUUUGCUUUAAAAAUGCAAGCUGUUGAUCUGUUUCAGAUUAUAAUCCACUUUUCGAUCCUGCAUUUUAUUCUUUUUCCACUACCAUUACUGCAAAAAAAAAAGUUGCUGUUUUUUUUCUUUUCUGUUUUUGUGCUUUAUUAAUAGUGAUUUUUGUAUUUUUGUUAGCUUAAGGUCUAAUAUUUACUUCUUCUUUUUUUUUUUUGGAAUUUUCUCUUUGGAUUGGAUUAGUGUAAUUGUUGUUAUUAUUAGUAUGCUGGGAAGUGAAAAGUUGAAUUGAAUAUCAAUGAUUUUAAGUUUUGUUCAUAAUAAACUACUACUUGAAUAUUUAGUUCAUGGGUUGAUCUGGAUUUUUCAUUGCAUAAACACUGUCGAUUUGAUUUUUUGCAUUAAUUUCUUUCAUAUGAUUCAUUUUCGGCUUUAUUGCAAACUUCUAGUUGAUGAAAUGUUGUGGUAUUAUUAAGUUGAAUUAUAUGAAUAUGUCGGAUUUUGAAGAAUUUCGAUGUUUUUCUGAUGUUUUGCCGACAGGUUAAAUCGAAAGGAAGUCCGACAUGUUCCGGCUUUCACCUGGUAGGAACCAAAGAUCGAAAGGAUUGAAGGUGAAGCAUGCUCUACAAAUAUGUGUUCUUGUUGGUAUUUGCAUUUGGCUGCUUUACCAAGUUAAGCACUCCGGGGAGAAGAAAGCGAUUUAUGAGAAAUCUGGGAGCGAUGUUGUCAAGUUGGGGCGAAAAGACUUCCCUCGAUCGGAAGGGAUGACUGUUACAGAUGCACGGCAUAAGGAGGAAGAAGAGGAAGAAAGUAAGAAUGGAGAAGAAGAUAAUAAGCCUGAGGUAACCGAAGAUGAAGGAAAUGGGGAAGUCAGUGGGAUGCAUGAGCAUGAUAAUGAGAAACCCGAGGAGGGAACCGAGCAUGAAGAACGUAGGAACGACGAUAACGAAGAGACUAUGGAAAAUGAAAACAAAGGAAAUGAGGAGACUCGUGAAGGCGAUAAUGAAGAGAAAGAGAACAUCGAGGAUAGUCGAGAAAAGGAAAAUAAAGGGAUUGGGGAAGAGAGCAAUGAGACGGAGAAGAGUGAAGGUGAGAUAGAGAAUGCAGGUAGCUCGGAUGAUCGGGUUCGUGAUGGAAUUGAUGGGAAUAAUGAAGAAGCGAGAGAAGAACAUUACAAGGGGGAUGAUGCUUCAAGUGAAGUAGUCCAUGAUACCCAAAAUGAGACGAGUGGUUCAGAAAAUUCCAACGAGGCUGAGCAGUUGGAAAACAAAGAUAAGAAUGACCGGGAGGACGAAACAAAUAGCAGUGAAGCGGCCAAUGUCGGUCAUGAAGAGUCGAAUGUGCAAGAAAAUGGAACAGCUGAAAACAAUCAAGAAAGCAGUAAUGGGAGUAACGAAGCCGAGUCUAAAGAAGAUGCACAUCCCGAUACAGCUACGGAAUUGAAUGAGAAUCUGACAGAUACAACACACAGUUCAACCGAGAAUGUAAAUGGUAUGGUUCGGCUAUCUGAGAAAUCGGAUUCAGGUGGGAAUGACGAGCACUCGGAUUCAAAUACAACCCCUACUUCAACUGAGAAUGGGGAUGGAGCUAAUGGAGGUUCUACAAGUAAUUCGGAUUCCGGUGAAUCAAAUGGACAGACUGAAAAAUCGAAUGCCGGAUCAGACAGCAAUUCAAAUGCUGUUCAGAGUGAAGAAUCAAACAAUAAUUCUGGAGGAGAGGGGACACACACAAAUGAAAAUUCAAAUGCUGACCAGAACAGUGGAACAUCGUCGAACACUAAUGAUAAUGCUGGUGCAGGUCAGAAUGAGAAUGAUAGUAGCAAUUCGAACAAUGACGGGAAUGCGAAUGGGAAUGGUGGCAGCACAGGCAAUCAGAGCAACACCAAUGACAAUGUAAAUGCAAAUGAAGAUGUUACUCAAAAGGAAAACAACGAUUCAAGUUCAAAUGAAAAUGCUGCACAAAGCAACACCAGCAACAAUGAAAAUGCGGGUCAGGACGAGAAGAAUGCCACUCAGAGUAACACUGACAACAAUGAAAAUGUGGGUCAGAAUGAGAACAAUGCUGCUCAGAGCAACACUGAGAACAAUGAAAAUGCGGGUCAGAAUGAGAGCAAUGCUGCUCAGAGAAACACCGAGAACAAUGAAAAUGCAAGUCAGAACGAGAGCAAUGCAACUCAGAGCAACACUGAGAACAAUGAGAAUGCGGAUCAGAACGAGCACAAUGCUGCUCCAAGUAACACUGAGAACAAUGAGAAUGCGGGUCAGAACGAGAACAAUGCCACUCCAAGUAACACCGACAACAAUGAGAAUGCAGGUCAGAACGAGAACAAUGUGACUCAGAGCAACACUGACAACAGCAACAGCAACAACAACAACGAAAAUGCAAGUCAGAACGAGAACAAUGCUGCUCAGAGCAGUAACAACAAUGAAAAUGCAAGUCAGGAUGAGAACAAUGCAUCUCAGAGCUUCACCGACACCACCAACAACAAUGAAAAUGCAAGUCAGAACGAAAACAAUGCUUCUCAGAGCUACACCGACACCACCACCAAUGAGAGCAACGAUGCCAUUCAGACCAAUACCAACAGCAACGAAAACUCAAGUCCAAAUGAGAACAAUGCCGUUCAGUCCUCCAAUAACGAAAAUGCAGGUCAGAACGAGAACGAGAACAAUGCUACUCACAGCUUCAACGACAGCAACGGGAGCAGCAAUUACGACACAAAUACAGAUGGAAACACCCAGAAUAAUCCCGACACUUCUUCAACGAAUCAAGAAGUAAAAGAAGGUGAAACCGGUUUGGGAACUUUGCCAGGUACCACAACAAGUGAGGGAAAUAAAAGUGAGAAUGCAGCUGCAGAAUGAAAUUUAUAAUGGUUUGUGAUUUCAGUAUAUGAACUAAUUACUGUCACUAAAUUUUUGUUUUUCUUCUUUCCUGAUAUGGGAUCGGGAAACUGUAUGUUCCUGGUUACUUGUGCCUUUGUUGUCAUAUUAGUGCUGAAAAUUUUUAUAUUAUUUUGUACUUGUAGAUUUCUAGUUAUAAUAAUUGAAGUUCCCCAGUUUUCAUAUCUUUAUGAGGAUAUAUAUAAUAGGAAAGAAAAUCCUUUUUAGGUUUCUCUUCAAAUGUGUCUCUUGGUGCUUAAAUCAUCCUACAAAAAUAGAACUGCUUGACAUUUGGGAUAAUUACAUCAAAUAUUCUCAACUAGUCCUCAAAUUAUUAAUAUUGUAUUAAUCAGGUCUUUCUACUAGUUUAGCUAUCAAUGCACUUCGAAUUUGACGAAUUAUGGAUUCGAAUAUCCACAUGGAUCUUUUUUUUUUUUCGGAUUUGGAUAAUAUUCGGAUUUUAUGAUUAUUAUCUAAUAGGAAUUUGAACUGGAUGUGAAUAGAUGUCUCGGAUAUUCAAUUAUCCAAAUCCGAUUACUUGUUUGGGUAAUGGAUGUAAAUUUAAAUUCAAACACCCAAACCUAGUGGUACAAAAUACUUAUAGUUUUGAUUUUAUAUAUCUAAAAAGAAUUUUACUGUAUUCGAAUUCGGAUUUUUGCAGAUGUGAAAAUUCGAAAAAUGGUUAGAAAUUUUGAAUUUUUUUUUUCAAAUUUGAAAAAUGACAAUUUCAAUAAAUUUUAGGACAGUUAUUAUUGCUUUUAAAAAAAGUCAAAUAUAAGUUGUUUAUGCAAUAGGUACACUCUAGACAUAUAGUUUAAGUAGUAUUAAAUGUUCAAGCUAGACAAAAUGACCUAAUCGAUACAAUACAAAUACCUUUAAAAGGAUCCAAUUAAAACCUUUUAAAUUUUGAGGACCAAUGAUGGUAUUAGCCCUUUUUUUCUUUCAAAAUUCCAUGAAUUUAUUGCUUAAAUUGCAAGGACCAAUGGGGUUGGUGAAGCCUGAUGGUGCCUCAAUACCUUAUUAAUGGACAUCCCCACUCCUCCCAUGGUACUUGCUAUUUAUUUUGUUAGGUAAUUCAUAAUUAGUUGCUUUUGUGUUGCUUCAACAUGCAUAUUAUCAUUAAGAAAGACCUGUGGGGAUCUAUUUUUAUGAAAUGAAUUAGAUAAAGUACUAAUUGGUACAAUCAAUUAUAGCUGCAAUGUUUUCAUAUGGAAUUUUCUUUUCUUCCAAAGGACCUAAUCAUGAACAAUCAUUUUCAUUUUAAAAAAUACAACAUGGUGCACUCAUAUGGUAAAAAAAAAAAAUUUCUUGGAUAAUAUAAUUUUUGGCCCCUGAAUUUAGCAACUAGGUCCACUUUGGUAUUUGAACUUGACAACUAGAUCCAUUUUGGUCUUUGAACUUAGAUUCUAUCAAGAUUUAAUGAUGUGACCAGUAUUACUGAAACAUGAUUAGAUUAGACUUGGAAUUGAUCGAUAUAAUGGUCCGAACAAAGGGUUAAAUCGAUCGACUCGAAAAUAGCUUGAAACUGGUAAAAAUUGAAAAUCGAAACAAAAAUCAAUAGUUGAAUAAGUUGAAUUGGAUUAAUAUUUUUUAUGAUUUUUUAAUUAUUAUUUGUCUGGCAGUCGAAUUGGUUGAAUCGGGAAUCGAUGGUCUAGCCUGUUCAACCACCGGACCAAUUAUUAAAAUAUUGAAUGUGACACUUUGAGAUUGUAUGACAUCACCACAUAAAAAUUUAUAUUAAUUUUUAAAUUUUCAAGUGAUGAUAUUGUGCUUAGUUGUAAAGUUCAAGUCUCAAAGUGGACAAAAAAUAUAGGUACCAAAAUAAAUAUUGUUGCCAAGUUCAGGGGUCAAAAUUAUAUUAUCCAUAUUUCUUUCAUUUGGUUGGUAAAAGGAUGGGUUGUCAUCUCAUCAAGAGCAUCUUUCGAAAAGAGAGAAAUAUUUUAAGGUUAAUAUACUAUUUGGUACCUAUAUUUAGUUUGAAUGUUUAAUUUUGUACUUGAGCUUUUAUGUCCCAAUUUGAUAUUUGAGUUUAACUUAAAUGUUGAAUUUAGAACCUAGGUCAUUUCAAAUUGAUACUUGAGUUUUUCUUUGUCCUAUAUAAGUACUUAAAUUUAACUUCAAUGUUCAAUUUUAUACUUGUGCAAAAGUACCAUUGAGACCCCUAUACUAAGAGUCGGAUAUCAUUUUGCCCCCUCUACUAAAAAAGAUGACAAAUUCAUCUUUGUACAUUAGAUUAAGAAGCAAAUUGGUCCUUUUGAUAAAAAUUCCAUCCAUUUCUACUAUUAAGUUAUAAUUGAUUAUUGUCUACUUGCUUGAAUUAGUCCCUCCACAUAAAAAGUUUCACCCAUUUCACAGUUUAUCAACCAUUCAUUUCUUCUAUUAAAAAUUUCAUCCGAUUUGCUUGAAUUUAUACCUCGAUGACAACAUGAGGUACACGUGGCACGCUAAGUGUCAUUGUUUGGUUGCUCCAUCAAGCAUGUUAGCACUUAACGGUAAAAGGGGAUAUUUUUUUUAAACAGAAAAUCAAUUUACUAUUUAAUCUAACGUAUAAGGAUUGAUUUGUCCAUUUUUCGAGUAUAUGAGUCAAAAUGCAACUUGACUCACAGUACAAAGGCCUCCAUGAUACUUUUACCUUUAUACUUAAGUUUUUCUUUUUCUCCCAAUUAAGUACCUAUACUUUUUUUUUUGCUAGAGCACACAUGUCAAACAUUUAUUGGACCGUAUGGUGCUGUUCAGUUUGAGUGCCAAAUUGAAUAUUGAAGCCAAACUCAAAUACCAAAUUAGGACAAAAAACUCGAAAGCCGAAUUAAACAUUGAAGCCAAAUAUAAAUACCAAAUGAUAUAUUAACCCAAACAUUUAUCUGUGGUCAAUUUUUAACACCAACAUCAAUUGAGUCAGAAUAAAAGAAGAUUAAUGUUUGUUAAAGUAAAAUCUCAAGUCUUUUAGUUUCUUUUUUUAAGUAAGUUUAUGAGUAUUUAAUUUUCUUUCUAUCGAACCCAUGUGAUGUCAUGAUAGUUAAGGGUAUUUACAACCCUAGGUGUAACCUAGGUUCGAAUCACACUAAUUACGUUCGUUGUUUAGGUUUUGCCCUAUUAUUGUAAUUUACAAAAAAAAAACUAUUUUUAUCUAAUUUUCAUAAAAUUAAUCCACAUGUUACGAUUUUAUUUGAGCAUCAAAUUGAAUAAUAAAAUUAAACUUAAAUAUUAAAUUAAACAUUGAAACCAAAUUAAAUACAAAAUGACAUGUCAACCUAGACUUCGUCUCAACAUAAACAAGACAAACUUCAUGGAUUUGGUGCACAUGGUAUUGAUCCAUAUUGAACAUUACCAGUCUUUUGGUACCAACAAAAGCAUUCUGAUAUUCUAAAUUAAAUUUAAUACCUUAAACCAACUUUAAAUGAUUAUAUUUUUAUGUUCAUCAGUUUUAUAUUUUCAUAAUUACAUUUAAAUUUAAAUUAAGUUAGAAAAUAGAAUUAAUAAUUUCGCAUUUUCAUAUAGAUAUAUUGUAUAAUAUAUAUUUCGUUAAAAAUUUAAAAGCAAAAAAUAUAUGUAUAAUUAUUUUUAAAAAUACCCAAUGAAAACUGAUAUCGGUAGGCAUCAAUACUAUAACAAAAACUAUAUAUGCCCAUACUAAUAUUUUGGCUGAAAAAGAAUAUAUCCUUCUUUGAGUAGUUCAUGCAAGCAUUCAAUAGAACCAUAUCCACAACAAACCAUUCAGUAAUCUUAUUAUUUCGAAACAGAGUAUGGUAGGCAGGCACAACCAUAUAGAAAACCUGAUGAACUUGCAAUUCAAAGUCCAGAAACUGGAAAUCGAGUGCUAAAAUUACAAAAGAUCCACAGAAUUAUCUGAUUGAUUUCUCAGAGAAAUGAUAAAAAUGCGCCGAACUCGGAAAGAUAUGCAUCUGUCUGGCCAUCCCUAGUGAUGCUCCUUUGUCUCAAACAGACCAUCCGGACCUGAAUAACAUGAUAAAUAAAACAAUGAAAAGAUUGAAUCGACCGAUUAGAUAAAUGAGUAACAAUAACCUUAAUAUAUGACCAUCCUUGAUUAAGCAUACAUCCACUUCCAAUAUUGGAAAAUUAGAAACUCCAAAUGAUAAUAUUAAAUUUUAUACCUAGAUUCCUUGAUCACUCAUGAACCUAUUUCUUUUAAAUAGGCUCAUCAUCAAUCACAACAAAAAAUUCUUGCUAGGUCAAGGGUGGCCAAGCCUACAACAGCGAGUAAAUAGCAAUGGCCUUGGUAUCAAACUUUACGAAUAAGAAAAUGGUGGUUUUUUUUAGUUCAUAUGCGAUUGUCAAACUCUCCUACCAGUAAUAACAGUUAUCUAGAAAAACAAAAAUAAAAAAGAAAGGCAUUCUUAGAUUAGUUUUUCAUUAAAAUCACAAAACGAGACACAACCAAAACAUGUUGUUUAUAAGAUUCCUGGGUUAGAUAACAUAAGAUACAAUUAGAGACAAGCUAAACCCAAUAAUGUAACUGUAAAAAUGAUCAAAUGAAAAUGAGUUUAGACCAGGUCUUAGCAAUUUAUCUAGGAAUUAGGCAUGUGGAAACAUAAGCAAUGAAUGUAAGAUAGGCUGAAAGGAAAUUUUUCACCUAGAAUUUAGUUUAGGACAAAAACUAGUGUUAUAGUUAGUAAUCUAACAUAACAUAGGAAGUAAAUACUGCGUUACUUGGCCUUGGGUGUGAAUGUCAGAUAUAGGUAUGUAUCCGACGCAGGCUUUUCUAAGUUUUUCCAUAUAUUUGGAUGAUCACUGAAGGUCAAAGCCCCAUAUCCAUGUGUCGGACACAGGUACUUCAGGAAAAAUGAAGAGUCUAAGUAACAUAGAGUAAAUAUCCAACAUGUAACACAUUCAAAAUAUGACUGCAAAGAUUAGGUGAAAGAGAGGAAAAAGAUGGCCAUUUUUUUCCAUGGGUAGAAGAUGGAAAACUAAUGAUUACUAGUAACCAAAUUAAGUUAAAACAAGACAGACCAUAAUUGGUUGCCGAUAGCAUGUUGGAUGUUUCCAUAUUAAUUGAUGAGCAAAACAUCACUAUGAGUUGGCAACUUUUAAGUCUCCAUAUAAAUUACCUAAGCUAGUGUUUUGGAUGCUUGAAAAAGGAAUUGUUUUGAAGAAAAUGAAUAGGAUUUAUUAGUUAAUAACCAAAGCCAAUAAAAGUAAAUUUGGUUCUAGUUCUGCCUUAGAAUAUCUAAAAUUGUCUAGAAUUCUUUACAUUUCUCGACCUUUAAGCAAAUGGUGCAAAAUGAAAAGAAAAUCCAGCAAUGUUAUCAGUUAUAAUUUUCAUGGAAAGACCCAAUAGAGCCUAAACAGAAAAAUUUAAAUACCAAAAAGAAAAUAAGCUCGAACUUAAACAACUCGAAACCGGUAACAAUAAGAUUAACAUACCCCAUGGGAACUCCUUAUUGCGAAUGUGCAAAUAUGGGUAUGCCUGCAAACAUUCAAACAUCAUGACAGCAUCCAAUGAUAAAAAUUAAUAACAAAAAUAUUUUUCUUAAAAUAUAUAAUUAAAAUUAAACAUAAUAAAAGUAAGCUUACAGGAGGCUCUUCAUGGUGGGGAUGACCUUUUGAUAGAUUAUAAAUCGCUAAAACAGUGCAGGUAGCAGCACCUAAAUAUGUUAUCUUUUCCCAUUUUGCCGUUUCAUCUGCAAAUAUAUAUAUAAAUUCGUGUUAAAUCAAAAAAUAUAUAUAUCUGAUUUUUCCAAGCCGUUUUAAGAUUUUCUUUUCCCUAAGAUCCAAAACUACGAUUCUUUUAAUAAUCUAAAUUUUAUUUUACUUACUCUAUUUCUAACAUAGAUUCAAUUAAAAUCAAAAGGUUAAACUAGAUAAUAAAACCCAAAAGUAAAAAAAUGGAACAACUCAAAAUAUAGGAAAUCAAUAUAUUAAUAAUAUAAAAUUGAUCCAAAUCAGAUAAAAUAUUAAAAAAUAGAAGAAAGGUUGCAUACAAGCAUCAUCGUGAUGAGAAGAGGAAGCGAAGCCACGCUUGGGAGGAGCAGUAGGACGAGAGCCGCCGCGAAGGGCUGCUCGGAGGAGACCAGAUCGCACACUCGCCAUCGCCAUUUUUAUCGAUUUCUUUUUUCUCUACGACUUGAAACCCUUGUUUUCUUAUACGCGAUAUAUUUUAGUCAACAAUUAGAUUAGACCAAACGAGAAGGGUUUCGCACGUGCAAAGUGCGUGGCUUUUGCCCCUUUAUUUCUUGUUUUCUAAAAAAAAAUCUGAUAAUAUUGCAAAACAAAGGUGAUAUAUUUCAUAAAUAUAAAAAUAUAAUAUAAUUGUAAAAAUAUUGUGGAGGCUUUUGUAUUAGGAUUUGGAUUUAAUUUUGUCUCUUUACUCAGUAAUUUGAUAAAUUAGUCUAUUUACGUUAGAUCAAAUAACAAAUUGGUCUUUCUGAUGAAAAAUUCAUUCAUUUCUAUAGUUAAAAAUUGGUCUCUGUACACUAGAGUUAUCCAUGGGCUGAAUCGGUCCACCCAAAAAAUCCAUUUCACUGUUCAAAAAUAAAUAAAAUAUUAAAAGCAUAUUUUUAUUUGAUAUUCUAUAUAUUUUAUAAUUAAAUUUAAAUUUUAAAAAAAUUAUUAUUUAAAUUGAAUUCGGGUCAGGUCGAAGAGCAAAAAUUCUUAUCCAAGCCUAGCCCAAGUUGGGUUGGGCCUAUAGGACCGGGUAGCCUACCCGACCCUACUAUACGCUAGUAUAAGAUACACGUGACAAACCACAUGUAACUGUCUAAUUAUUCUAUCAACUAUGCCAAUUUUUAACAGAAAAAAUGGAUGAAAAUUUUAGUAGAAAUGAUUAGUUUACUCUCUAAUCUAAUGCAUACGGACUAGUUUACUAAUUUUUUAAGUAAAAAGAACAAAAUAUAAUCUGACUCCAAGUAUAUAGGCUUCCAUAAUACUUUUACCCAAUAUAAUAUGCUUAAAUAUCUAUACUAUAUCUAAUUUGCCGAACUAAAUUGAUGUCAGGAAUCGAUUGACACCAUCUUAAUUAGAUAAAUUAUUUAAUUUAUUUUUAAUAAAAUAAUAAAUAUUAAUAUAAUGAUAUUUUUCUAAAUAUUGAACUUAGGUUAUGAUUUUUUUUUCAUAAUUACCUUACCGCUUUGUUUACUAUUCAAUUAUUGAAGAAUCUUUUAUAAAUAUAUUUUUAAUAUUAACUUGUUAUAAAAUCAAGUGAUAAUAAUUAAAAUGUAUCAUAAUUUUAUUUUCAAUACACUUAAUAAUGAGAAACACAAAACACUAUAUGCAAAAAUGCAAAUAAAGAUCAUAAAAAAUAUAAUUAUUUAUCUUUUUUCUAAUUCUCAAUUGCGAUUUUUAAAAAAUAUAUGAUAGCAAGAUAAAUUUGUAUUUUAAUAUAUUUAUAUUUAGCUAAUUAUUCAAUAAAAUGCUAUUAAAUUUAGAUUUUUCUUAUCAAGAAUGAAGUUGAUAUGCUAAAUUCAAACUCUUAAAAAGGAUGAGCUAAAUUGGAACAAAAAGCAGGGCUUGAUUGAAAGAUAGAAGAUUCAAAUAUAAUUGGAUAAAGAUUGAAGGGUUGAAGAUUUUUUUUUAAGUGGCUGGAUAAAGAUUAAAAGAUUUUUUAUAUUGUUACAACUCUAUAAUUAGUUUAAAUUCUAGUUUAAAUUUGAUUUUUAAUUUUCAAAUUAUUUAGUGAUAAUAUUUAGAAAAAAUCUAGCUGAAUUUUAGCACUAAAAGUGUGUAUAAAUAUCUAGUGACUACAACCAAUUGAACACAUCUUCGUUUGACAUUUAAUAAAUUCUCUAUUUUUUUUCCUCUCCUGCGUCUUUGCCAUUCAAUUUUGCAGCUUCAAUUGUUUUUUGUUUUGAUUUCAACCUUUUGGUUUAAUUUUCUUCUAAGGCCUUGCCCUUUUCUACUUUUCAAAAUUCCACUUAAAUUAUUUAUUUUCAAGCAUGAUUUUUUCCAUGAUUAACUAAACCGUUUUUAGCUUUAGCCCGAAAAUUGCUCCAACAAAAUAAUCGUGAGAUACGAACCCGCUCAAAAAAAUCUCUCAAUUCGGUAUUCGUUAUCUCUCCGGCGUAUGGGAUAGUAAAAAUUCAUCCCUCAAAAUUGAUUCAAUUUCAGCUAAAAAACGCGCGUUGGGUUGCAAUCAUUUGACGUACAAUUGGGAAGUUGAGUCGGCAGUGAUGUAUUCAAAAUCCCACAAACAAAUUGGUGUGUUCAAUUGAAAAAAGCUAGUUGGAUUCCGUUAAGGGAGAUGGUGAUCGGAUUUAAACGACCCACAUGGUUGAGGCCGUUAAUUUGAGUUGGGCUUUUCAGAUCGUAAGGCUGUCGAAGUCUUAAAUUACGGGUACGUGCCACGUGGUUAGAAAUUCAACAAGGGUUGAUUUUCAGGUGAUAUCGAGAUCGACUACGAAAGACAAAGUUGGCAGUUUGAGAGAUCCUUGAUUGUUAUAACAAGCUAAUCGCUUGGAAGGGAAAUUUUGUUUCAAGGAUCGAUUCAAGAUUGGAGUACACUGAAGCUAAGACUAAGCUUAAAAAAUAUUUUAUUUAUCUAUUUAUUUUAUUUUCUUAAUUUUAUUUUUGCAUUUUCGAAUAUUUUUUAUUUUAUUUUUUUAUUUCCCUAUUUUAUUAUCUUAAUUAAUUUAAAACCCCCAUUUUUAUUUUCUAGCGUUGCAACACACUAGUCGUGGACAUGACUAUUACUACAACAAUAAUUCUGGUUACAAAAAAAGGUGAAAUUAGACAACCAGUCCCUAUAGAUUCAACCUUACUACUCUAUAUUUCAAUUUAUUGUUAUUUUGUCGUAGAAAUUUAUAGUUGGUGAUUUUGACACCCAUCAAAUUUUGGCGCCAUUGCUAGAGAUUGGUGAAAAUUUCUAAUUUUUGUUUGUUUUAUUUAUGACCAGUUCAAAAUUGGGGACUUUAGCACUUGAACUAGAGAUAGAAAAGUUGGCUCGAACACUUUGAAGAGAAGCUAUUCGGCGCGGUAAACAACCACAACCUGACUUUGAAGAAAGAUCUUACACCGAAGAUAUUUACUCAUCUGAAGAUUCAGACAAAAUAGCAAAUUAAACUAUACACCAACUUGCAGCUGUACCAGAUGAAUAACAACCGCUAUGCAUAACUUAUCCGGUAGGCGAAACACUAUUCGAGUUAAAGUCAGAAUUAAUACAUUUAUUGCCUACUUUCUGCGGUUUGAAAAACGAGAACCUCCAUACUCAUCUGAAAGAGUUCCACAUGGUUUGUCUGAGCAUGAAACUAGAAAAGGUAACUAAAGAUCAAAUAAAACUACGAGCUUUUCCCUUUUCAUUAGCCCACUCCACUAGAGAGUGGCUUUUUUUUAUUUACCUUAGGGAUCUGUUAAUACUUGGACUGAUAUUUCUUGAUUGUUUCUUGACAGGUUUUUCCCAGCAGCUCGAGCAGCUGAAUUAAGGAGGAGUAUAGUCGGAAUACAACAAAAAAAAGCAAAGUCACUCUAUGAAUAUUGGGAGCAAUACAAUAAGUUGUGGGCAAGUUGCCCACAACAUGGCUUGUCUAAACAGUCACUCUUACAGUAUUUUUAUAAGGGGUUACUCUCAAUGAGAAUGAAGAUGAUUGAUGUCGCUAGUGGAGAGACUCUUGUGAACAUGACUCCCCAAAGAGCUAGGGAAUUAAUUUCGACCAUGGCUGCAAAUUCUCAAUAGUAUCGACCACUUAUGGAACCUAUAAGAAGGGUUCAUAACCUAAGUACUCCUUCAAUAGUAAAUAAGAUUGAUGAACUUACUAAUGUGAUUAGAAGUAUGCUUGUAGGAAAAUCAAACCCAACUUGGUUAUGCGGGAUUUGCGCUCAGCCUGAUUAUCUAACUGACUCGUGCUCAGUUUUACUUGAAGACACAACUACACAAGUAAAUGUCGUUGGGAACUUCCCAGGGCCACCUCAAAGGCGUUCUGAUCCAUAUUUAAGCAUGUACAAUGCAGGGUGGAGGAAUCAUCCAAACCUGAGCUAUGGGUCGAACCUUCAAUACAAUCAAUAAUAUCAACCAAGACUACCCCCGUCUCAACAAUAUCAACCUCCAAAGUCAUCUCUUGAAGUUAUAGUAGAGAGGUUAGUCGUUGGCACUGAAAAGUUCCAACAAAAGGCUGAAGUACAUUUCUAAGAACUAGAUCAACAAAUAAGUAAGUUAGUACUUACGGUUAGUCAUUUGGAGAACCAAGGAAAAUUGCUAUCUCAAACCGAGCCAAACCCAUGUCAAAAUGCAAGUGUUGUGACCGUAAAAGAUGGGAAAGAGUCAAAACUAGUGCCUAGCACAAGUCGUGACCAUAACGUUGAACAGGAAGCCAAACCAACAACUUUCACUGAGUCAGCACUUCUUAAACCAUUUGUUGUACCUCACCCAUACCCUGGAAAGCCGCCCAAGUUAAAAUGGAAUGAGAGAAAAAAGAAAUCCUUGAGACAUUCUGAAAGGUAGAAAUUAAUAUUCCUUUACUUGAUGCAAUUAAACAGAUUCCACGUUAUGCAAAAUUUUUGAAAGAACUGUGUACCGACAAAAAGAAGUUGCAAGGAAAUGAAUGGAUGAAUAUGGGAGAAAAUGUUUCUGCGGUGUUACAAAGGAAAAUCCCGCCUAAGUUUAAGGACCAAUGCAUGUUUUCUAUAUCCUGCAAAAUAGGUAAUAUUAGCAUAAUGAAAGCCAUGUGUGAUUUGGGAGCAUCUAUUAAUGUAAUGCAUUUAUCUAUUUUUAAAUUACUAAACACGGGUCCUUUGAAAGAAAUAGGGGUGAUUAUUCAAUUGGCAGAUAGGUCAUGCAUAUAUCUAGAAGGGGUACUAGAAAAUGUCCUCGUAAAGGUAAAUGAACUAAUUUUUUCCUGCAGGCUUUUAUAUCAUCGAUAUGGAGGAUGACCACUCAAAAAAUGCUUCUGAUAUUUUACUUGGGAGACCAUUCCUAAGUACCGUGUGUACAAAUAUUGAUGUUCGAAGUGGAACCCUCACUAUGGAAUUCGACGGUGAGGUGGUAAAAUUUAAUAUUUAUGAGGCGAUGGGCCAACCCAAUACAAUGUCGAACAUUUCUAGUGUUGAUAUUAUUGAACCACUAACGAAAUUUUAUUUUGAGUAUCAUGAACGGGAUGGGUUACAAAUUGUACUUUGCAAGAGUUUAGACCUCGAUACGAUAGAUAAAUUAGAGGAGUUAAUGACGUUCAAAGAACUGAUUCGUGAAACCGUUAUUCUAUUGGAGACUCCACAAUUUCCUAGAAGUCAAGGUAAAUAUUUUAAACUUUCUCCUUCUAAAACUAAAUUCUUGCAUUCUGUUUUGCAGGCUUUGGAAUUGGAACUCAAACCGUUACUUGAACAUUUAAAUAUUCUGAUAAAGGAAAAGGCAAACCCAAACAGAGAAGCUCAAAUACGCCUUAAUCCACCAAUAAUGGAGGAAUUCCAAGUGCACAUAAUGAAAUAAUUAAUUCUUAAGAAACCAAACGAAUAACUCUCAAGUCGUCGAGCUAACGACGUUAAACAAAAAGGCUUUAUGGGAGGCAACCACAUUUAUUUUUAUUUAAUUUAAUUUUUAAUUUUAGUUUAGUUUAGUUUGAGAAUUAAAUAAAAUAUUAUUUUAAUCUGUUUGAUCGUGCUAUUUUCCAGGAGCAACCACCUUCAGCUGUAGACGAACGACUUCAUCGCAUUGAAGCUUGCCUCAAAAUAAUAAAAGCCAACAUCUCAAACAUCCUCACCGUUCUACAGAGUGAUCACUUCCAUCGCUCUCCGGCCCAUUAAAUAUAAACGGGGAUUACACUUUCUCCAUUCAUAUUAUUCUUUUUACACAUUGGGGGCAAUAUGGGCUAAGUAGGGGGAAUUUUGAAUCAUGAUAUACUUUUUUUUUGCAUGUGUUUUGUUAAGAAUAAAUUUUUUUAAUUUAUUUCAAAAAUAAAUAUCUAAUUCUUAUGUUCAGUUUACUUAAAUAAGUGGGUGAACCAUGAAUACUAUUGCUUGCUUGAUCAAUGAAUAUUUUGUAGAAUUGAAAAUGUUAUGCCUUAGUCGAUAUUUCAUGAAAAAUUAUUAAUUUUGUUGAACUUGCCUAAUGAAAGCACUCGUUUAAAUAAAUAAAUAAAUAGCUUGGUUAAGAGUGAAGAUUCAAAAAUGCGACCAAGUUGAGUAACUGGGAUGAGGUGCUUGGGUUGUCAUCUCAUUUCACGUUAAAAGGUUUGGUAACGAGCCGAAGCUUGUAACACUCUACUAAUCAAGUUGCCUUGAGAAAAAAAGCGAUUAGGGGCAUGUGAAACUGAGUAACCAGGAUAAGGAGUUUGAGUUGUCAUCUCAUUUUGCGUCAAAAGGUUUUAUUAUGUCUUGAAUUCGUUAAAAAAUUAAAUAAAGAGAACGUGUUAGGUUGAGUAACCGGGGUGAGGUGUUUGGGUUGUCAUCUCACUUCGCGUCAAAAGACUUGAUUACGUUUGAAAAAAAAAAUGUAUAUAGAUAUAAAUAAAAACAUAUAUUGAGUAUGACUAUUUUGCAUGUUUGAUUGAGCCUAAAUUUAGUGAAAUAGUUGAGUUUGACAUACUAUUUGAGAUUUUAUAAAAUGCUUAUUGAUUGAGUUUGUAACACCCCAAACCUGGCCUAGACGUUAUGGCCGGAUCUAGCGAUGUCACAUGAUAGGGUGUUUGAAAACUGUGCCGUCGCGUUAAAACCAUUCCUAUUGAAUUCCUUAUCUUAAUAUCUUACUAGUUCCAAAAUUGUGUUGCUCAUUUAAUCGAUAGUUUCAAAACGUUAUUCGUUUGCGGAAACUUUUAAAUCAGAUUAAGCAAUCGUGCGUUUAGGAAAAACAUUUGUUUCUUUUAAAAAUAGAAGUUUCCUACUACUAGCAGUUGUAAUCCAUAAGGUAAAGAUAAUUAAAACGCAAAACCAAAGUCCGAAAGUCCAAUUACAACCCAAAAACUUAGCCAGUAAAAAUAAAAUAGAAAUAAAACUAAUUAUCGAAAAUAUGAGUUAAAAACCAUGAAAGUCCAAAACCGUGGUCACCACUGAGUCCUCCGUCGCACCGAUCCAUCUAGAUCUGGGGAUUACCUAUGCACAUUUAAACAAAAGAUGUGAGUUUAUGAAAACUCAGUGUGUAAUCCCACAGAAAACAAACAAUAGCAAAUCACAGUGCAUAGUUAAUGCAGUCCUGGACCUAAGCCCUUUUUCAGUAUCAGUAACAGUUUGGGCCUUAGCCCAUCUCAGUACAGUAUCAAAUAUGCAGUAGGGCCUUAGCCCAUUACAGUAUCAGUAGCAGUCAUGCAGUAUUCAGUAACAAAGUCCUACCCAACCAGCCUCUACACACCAUCUCCGUCCAACCCUACACUCCAUGUGGGGAUCAAAUCAACCCACCCAUCCCUACACUUCAAGUAGUACCGAAUGCGGCACAAAACAGUAAUUUCCAGCUGAGCUGCCAGUGUCUUAGGCUUAAGAGUCUUUCAGUACACUUCCUCCAAAUAUAAUCAACACAACCUCAUGCAAUGCAACAUACAAGUCAUGACAUGCUAUCUCAGGACAUCAGUACAUAUAACCAAUUCAGUAUACAAGCAUACUAUCAUCAUGCUUAACACAUAUAUAAAUCAAACAAUCAGUUAAUAUAAUUAAAGGUCUAAGUGAUGCUUACUGACCCUACAGUAGGUUCACAGUCGACUUGGGCGACCAGUGCAACCUUAGCAAUCAAUUCAGUGAUAAUUGGCUCACAUGCCCAUGUGGUCUGCCCGUGUAGGCCCACACGCUCGUGUGGCCCACUCGGCCAAAAUUGGCCUUGGCCGCGUGGUCCAUUUUUAAUAUAACCCGUGCUAGCUAAAUAUUUAUAUAUAUUUCACUAUUUACUUAUAUGUUCCUUCAAAGCUAUCUACCUGAGUCACUGUUACUAAAUUAUUUAUAUUUUGAGCUACAGAAUUUCAAAUUAAGGUCUUCUUGAUGUCUUUGAAACUAGACUCAAAUACUUUCAUACCAUAAAAUUUUUAGAAUUUUUGGUUUAGCCAAUAAGUACAGUAAAAUCUUCAAUCUUACCCUUGUUCUGCUGUCUGAUAGCUUCGACCUUUCUUUGCUAAAAAUUAAUUAUCUCUUAGUAAAAGAUUUGGAUGAUGUUACCAUUUGUUUCUAUUGAAAAUAGACUCAUUAAUAAUUUAAACAUGUAAAUUUUAACCCUUAAUUAUUUUUAUCCAAUUUUUGAUGAUUUUCUAAAGUCAGAACAGGGGAACCAUAAUUCAUUCUGUUCUUAUCUCACAAAACUUAUUAUAUCUCAUGAUUUACAAUUCUAUUACUUACACAAUUUCUUCUAUAAGAAACUAGACUCAAUAAGAUUUAAUUACAUAUUUUUUUCAUCCUCUAAUUCAAUUUCCACAAUUUAUGGUGAUUUUUCAAAGUUAGCCUACUGCUGCUGUCCAAACAGCAAACAAUUUUAGUUUUUCGCCGAAUCCCAUUUUCUGCAUUUCGGGUACACACCUGGUUUUGUUUGAUGCUAAAACAGUCCCCGAGCACUACAAAACCUAUAAUUGAAAAAAUAACACUAAUUUAAUCUCACAUAACAUGAUCCCAAAUUGAACUCGUAUCGAGAUUUUAACCCAUAAGCAACUAAACCUUACCUUCAACCGAUGAACAGUAAUUCCCACACAAAAUAAGACUUUGAUUGGUGAUUACAAGCCUUUGAAUCCUCCCCUAAUUGGCAUAAAUAAAACACUUUAGAAGAAAUUUAACAAACAAAGAAAAAUCACUUAUCUAAAACUUACGGAAUGAUCGUAGAAAAACAUGGAGUGACAUGAGGCAGAGUGGGAAAAGAAAAAUCAAGAAGAUGAAGGGUGAUAGAGAGCAGAAAUUUGGCAACAAUGAAGACAAAAACGGCCAGAGGGUGGAGGGAUUUUGGGGAAAGUAAAAAAAAAGUGAAAAAAAAAGAUAAACAAAAUAUUUGAUAACCACCCCAAUCCCUUAUUUCUCUCCAUCAAACUCCCUAGUAAAUCUAUUACUCUUCUGGACGCACGAGCAAAAAUAAUGUCCAUGCCAAGAUUCAAACAUAGGACCUCCUUCACACCAACACUCCACUUAUCCACCAAACCAAGAGGCUUUCCCUGUUUAUUAUUUGCCAACUUUUACUUAAAAGCCUACUGACUAAAGAUAGAGAUUAUUCAUAAAAAUACCAAAAUUUGCCCAAGUCCUAGCUUGAACUUGAGACCUCCCAAAUACACCAAGAACACAUAGCCACUAAAGCAGACAAAUAUUUUGUCACACAUUCACAAUACCCAAAAAUAAAAUUUUGGGGCAUUAGAAUGUUUAGCAAUUGUUUAUUUUUGAUUCACCUAAUUGUUUGAUGUGUGCUUGAUAGAGGUGCACAUGGGCCGGGCGGCCCGGCCCGGCCUGACGUCGGCCCACCCAAAAUAUGGGAGGGUUCGGGUAAAAAUAUAGACCCGAAAUAUGGGUUUGGGUAAGAAAUUAGGCCCGUUUUAAAAACGGGCCGAGCCUCGGGUAAAAUUUUUUUAGCCCGGGCCCGGCCCGGCCCGGCCCGGCCCGGCCUGAAUUUAAUUAAUAUAAUUUUUUUAUUUUGUCAUUAAUACAUUUCCCAUUUCCCUUUCCUUUUCCAUUUCCCCCCGUCCCCAGUUAAAUCCCUAACCCCUUCCCUCCCUUUUUUUCCCCCAAAUCGGAUCCAACUCCACCUCCACCGAUUCACGACUCCACGGUGCUUCACUGCUUCUAGCCUUCUUCGUCUUCUCAAAGGUGAGUUUGCUGUUAACCUUUGAAUUUGUUUUUUGCUUUGUGCUUUUUUAUUUUCAUUUUUAUUCGAAUCAGUUCCCUCACUUGCUUGUGACCGUAGAUGUAUAAUUUCAUUUGAUGUAUCCGUUCUUUUCUUGCUUGUGACCUGUUGAGAGAUUGUGUUGCUUAAAUCUCCCUUGCAAAUUUUAAUACUGUUUACAUUGUGCAAAUUUCCAUCUGUUCUGCUGGCACCUAGAUGAUUAAAAAUGGGACUCUGUUUUAACGUCCUGGUUUUGUGAACAGCCUAGACAUAGGUUGGGCUAAAAAUAGAAAUCAGCUGUUUCUUUG